rnacentral:lncRNA from 1 species
GAGAGCGGCCUGCGGCGCCCGAGCUCGCCUGAAACGAACCGGACUUGGAACGAUAAGCCGAGCGCGAGGCACAACCGGAAGGACGCUGGCCAUGUCGCUAAGUCUAUCAGUGGGAGGAUAAGGAGGAGGAGGAGGGUCGAUUCUUCCGUCGUCCUCCGCCUUUAGAGCUCUUGUUCUGUUACCAGAGUCCGUUUGGGAUGGGUAGAAAACAAGUGUGCCCGGCUCGAGCCACGGUACAUGGACAUUGCGAACCACAUAAGUUUUAUGAACACGUUUUUACAUCUCUGUCCUCAUCGAAGUUUUAUAAAUUUAUAGUAUGAUAUUAUUGGGCCUAAAUUUUUUUUCAGACGAAUUUCGAAAAAAAAACUCUUGUUUUAAAAAAACUUUCAGUUAGUGUCUCAAUUUUCAAGAAUUUCAAGAAAGUAAUCUUUAUUUUAAAAUAAUAAUAUUAUCUUUAUCGGUGAAACGAUUUAAAUACGUCCAACCAAUUCCAAGUGGCCUGACGACUACUCAGUGUGUGUCUCAUGCGACGGUCAUUCGCUGUUCGAAGCCGCCUCGUUCCAUCUCUCUUGGCCCCGACCGUCCGUCACAGACCUCUUCUCCGCUCCUUUCUCUCCCACCACCAACUGGUCGACGAGAUCACGCAUCCAAAUCCCGCUCCCACAUGCCCGGAGAAUGCCGCCACCUUCCGUCCUCUCCAAGUCAUCAGGGAUCGGCUCCGAUCGGAGGCCUCCCUCGACCCAGCCACUGUCGUCAUGUCCCUCAAGCAGUGUCGCGGCCGACCAGGCCUCCAGAUCCACGCCCUUGCGCUGUCCUCCGGCCUCGACGCGUACGUCAUCGUCUCCAACUCUCUCAUUAACAUGUACUCCAAAUCUGGCUCCUUCGACCUCGCUCGCAAGAUAUUUGACAGCAUGUCUUGCCCCGAUGUCGUCUCGUGGAACACCAUUCUCUCCGGGUUUGCUUCCGGCGCGGAAGCGCUGGAGUUCGCUGCACUCAUGCGUCGAGCAGGUGUUCCCUCCGACCCUGUGACCUUCACCAUGGUGCUCGCCUUCUCCGCGGACCUUCAGGACUUGGAAUCGGGGCAGCAGUUGCACUGCCUUGUUCUAAAAUCUGGGUUCGACUCCGACAUUUUUGUCGGGAAUGCACUCAUCACCGCAUACUCAAGGGCUGCCUGCGCCGACGAAGCCAAGAGAGCGUUCGACGAAAUGGCGGUGAGGGAUUUGGUCUCGUGGAAUUCGUUGAUCUGCGGGCUUACUCAAGACGGCGACUGUGGAACCGAAGCCAUCGAGUUCUUCCUUAUGAUGGUGAGGGAGGAAGGUGUCAGGCCGGAUCGCAUCUCGUUGGCCAGCGUCAUCUCGGCGUGUGGUCACGAAGGAAGUGUAGGCUAUGGAUGCCAGGUUCAUGGCUUCGCAACGAAGUUAGGGGUGGAGGACCAUGCCUCGGUCUCUAACGUCCUCAUGUCGAUGUACUACAAACACGGGGACAUCGUUUACGCCAAGAGGGUGUUCGAGAAUAUGACGGAGAGGGAUGUCAUCGCAUGGACGACCAUGAUAUCGAUCGAGUCGGAAAACGCAAUUCCUCUCUUCAAUGGCAUGAGACAGGACGGGGUGCAACCCAACGAUGUCACUUUCGUCGCAUUAAUCUUCGCUGUGUCAGACGAGCACCUGAUGAGAGAGGGACAAAUGGUUCAUGGAGUCUGCUUCAAAACCGGGAUCGCUGCGGAGGUGAAUGUUUCCAACAGUCUUAUAACCAUGUACGCGAAGCUGAAAUCCAUGGAGGAGGCGAGGAGGGUGUUCGACGGAAUGCACUGCAGGGAGACCGUCUCUUGGAAUGCUUUGCUCUCAGGAUUUGCUCAGAAUGGGCUGCGCGAGGAAGCUCUUGAGGUGUUCUCCUCGUUGAUCGGGCACUGCCAGCCAAACCAGUACACGUUCGGGAGCGUCUUGAGCGCGAUAACCGCAGCUCAAACGGUUUCCUUGACUUACGGUCAAGGUUGCCACGGCCGCAUCAUCCGAUUGGGUCUCAACACCGACGCCUAUGUCUCUGGUGCUCUGAUCGACAUGUACGCGAAGCGCGGAAGCAUCGACGAGGCCCAGAGAGCAUUUGAUGAGACUGUCGUGAAGAGGCUUGUCGGUUGGACGGCGAUCGUAUCGGCCCACGCAAAACACGGGAACUACGAGGAGGUGAUGAGCCUGUUCGAAGGGAUGAAGCACGUGGGCGUCCGUCCCGAUCACGUCACGUUCCUCGCGGUGCUGGUUGCCUGUGGCUGCAAGGGGAUGGUCGACGAGGGCCGGAAGGUGUUCGACUCGAUGGUGCAGGAGCACGAGAUGGAGCCAUGGGCAGAGCACUACGCGUGCGUCGUGGACAUGCUGGGGAAGGCGGGCAGGUUGGACGAAGCAGAGGAGUUCCUGAGACUGGCACCAACUCCGCCAGGAGUCUCGGCGCUGCAGAGCUUGCUGGGGGCGUGCCGUGUGCAUGGGAACGUGGACAUGGGGAGCAGGGUGGCGGAGGCUCUGAUGGAGCUGGAGCCAGGGGAGUCGGGGGCCUACGUGCUGAUGUCGAACAUCUACGCCGAUAUGGGAGACUGGGAAAAUGUGGCGAAGAUGAGAAGGGGGAUGAGGCAGAGAGGGGUCAGGAAGGAAGUGGGUUUCAGCUGGGUGGAUGCCGGCAUCAGGGACGACUCCAUACACAUGCACAAAUUCUCAUCGGGCGACAGGACCCAUCCAUGGGCGGAGGAGAUACACUCCAUGGCUCGGAGUUUGGGGUCGGAGAUGAAGGCGAGGGACGAGGACUGGUCCGACAUCGAUCUCGCUCGGUUGCCGAAUCCCUGAUACAGGACAGCAGGACAAGUAACUGUUCCGGAAGUGGCCAGCGGCGGAUUUGACCAGAUCGUGUAGCCCUCGACUACUUAAAAGAUGUAUGGAGGAACAGAAAGAAGGAAGAUAGUACCUCAUUUUGUAGCGCCCUUUCCAGUAUACAUUUAGUAUUUAUUUAUACUUUUCUUAUCUCCCAGUGUAGUCUGAUCCAAAUAGGUAAACAUGGCAUAAACAGCGUGGAAGGUAGCUCACUAGAAUAAAAUAUAGAACAGGCAAAAACGAAAGUAAACCAAAUAAAUACUAUGAUCACCAUAGUUAGGAAAUUGCAAAAAUGAUUUCAGUUUUGACUUACAGGGAGCAAAACAAGAGCUCCAAUGCAUCCCAAAAACCUUAACAUUGUCCACUGAAUCAACAAAAAUAUACUGACACCAGCCAGGAGGUCCUAAACGAAAGAAGAAAAACCAAGAAAAAGAACUAAAUUUCAGAAGCUUCCAUGAUAGAGUCAGCAAGCUAUUACUGUGUUAGUCAGAGAACACAACAGUUCAAACCCAACCAUUGGCAAUGAUUGACCCAUAAUUAGAGCCGUCGUUCUCAAACGCAUUAUUGCCAUCAGUUAUAUCAUUACCUCCUCCAUAUGAGCUAACGGAGCGAGUUCCUCCCACAGUGGCACUGAUUGCAACAUGAUCUAAACGGUGGUCAUCCCAAGCAUCAUUGCCAUCGGUUACAAUAUUGCCUCCAUAUGAUUUAACCGAAGGAUUUCCACACCCAGUACCUGUCCUGUAGUCGCGGCCACCAAUGAUUGGCUCAUGAUCAAAACCGCCGUCAGACGCAUAAUUAACAUCAGCUAUAACAUUACCUCCUCUGUGUGAGUUAGCCGCAGGGCUUCCUCCGCCGAUAUCCUUCCUGAAGUCACGGCCACCAAACCUUCUGGUACUAGACCCUCGUCUCCUCCCGCCACCAUAUGAUGGCCGAGCAACAUGGUUAUAAAGCCAGUCCGGGACCUCUUGGUUAGCAUCCUCCAUGCACUCGGUAAGCGACUUUGCCAGCCGCUGGUUUCCCUCGUUAAAGAAUGCAGUAGCCUUACCAGUCUUUCCAGCUCGGCCUGUCCUUCCAAUCCGGUGAACAUAGUCAUCUAUGUCUUUCGGCAGAUCAAAAUUGAUGACAAGAGCAACAUGUGGGACGUCCAGUCCGCGCGACGCAACAUCAGUUGCCACCAUGACAGGAGUUGCACCGCUCUUAAAGGAUCUCAAAGCACGCUCUCUUUCCUUGAUUUCAUCCAAACAGCAAAUAUUAGGAUAAGAAAAAAAUUUCAAUAUCAAAAAAUUAAGCAACAAAUUAUAUGGUCUUUUUAGUCAUGGAUCUAAGACAAGACACUGACAUUAAUGGAAGACAAAAAAAAUACUUCGACAAUUGUACAAAUGCACAUCGAACGGCUCUUUGGAAGAGGCCAAUGUGAAUGGCUUACAUAAACCAGUGAAUCUGUUGAACCUUUCAAUAGAUUCAACCUAAGUUGGUUCUUUAGGUGGGUUAUGUCAAAUAAACAGACUCCUAUUUCAAUAAAUAAUGAAUAUGAUUGCAGUGGGAAAAAUAAGCUACAGAAUCAAUAUCAUCCAUAUGAUCAGCUGAACUCUCAAAUAAAAGAUCACCAAAAAAAUUCUGAAGUAUGGAACUUCAUUCUUACUACAAUCUUCAUGUAAUAGUAGCAUAAACCUGCAGAUUGUGGUCUGAGCACGGGCUGAACAACCAUAAAACCUUCAGUAUAUGGUCUGACAGACACCACUUAUUGCUUCACAAUUACAUAAUAAAGUUAGAUGGAAUUGCUAGGUGUAAAGUAAUGGUGCUUAUUUUAAACAUUUUUUCUCAAAACAAUAUACUUAGUUUAGCCAUGAGAACCAAUCACAUGAAUAUAAACACAAAAUUCAUUAGAAAAUUCCAUUUAAAAAAUAGCUACCAAGAUAUCCAAUUGCUCCUUUUUAGAAUUACCAAUUAUUUCCUUAUAGAAUUACAAUUACCAGACCAAUUAGAAGUUAUUAAGAAAAACAAAGAAUAAAUCCAAAUUGAAAAACCAUCCAGGUAAGCAAAGUAGAUGAAAAGUUAUGUAAUGAAAAAAUGAUCAUGAUAUUUGUCAAAACAAAAGAAAUCUCCAUACAAUAGGACAACCGAUGCCAUUUUAUGGCAUCAUCACAAUCUUAACAUAGUAUUGAAUGAUUCAGUAUGUCAAUGAACAUCACAUGAUUCAGGCUCUGAAAUUUAGAUGAUGACAGAAUUAACAUAUUUUUAUCUUUUAACCAAUUUAAUUAGUAAGAUAAUAAUGUUUAGCAUGAUAACAUUUAAACAUGUCAUUCAACAUGGUAACAUUGAGGAACAAAGAUACAGCAAAAAAGUGAGUGCAGGAUUGUUAGACAUGUAAUAAGAGAAACACAACAGCAAAACACAUGCACAGGUGAGAGGUGGUCAAGAACCAAGUCCUAGCCGCUUCCAAGCAAGUUAUUUCUUUUGGGGUUUUAGGCAAUAGGACAAAAAAGUUACACUAACUUACUGGCUGAGUUUUAUCGCCAUGAAUAGAUGUUGCAGGAAACCCAGUUUUAGACAGCCAGCGCUCCAAGGAAUCAGCUGCUCUUUUGGUUUCCACAAAAACUAGUGUCAACAAUUGCUGCAGAAACGAAAACAUGUUAUUAACUAUCACUAUGAAGAAGUUAGCAACAUAAAAAGAACACUGCAUAAAGGACAAACAGCAAAAUAAUCCGGCACAGAAGAAAAAUAUUUUUUGGGCCUAGAAUCAAAGGGCAUAUUGUAGCCAAUAAUCUUGAAUUCUGACGUAAACACAAAGUGGUUGUCUAUGAUAUUAACCCAAAUAAAAUGAAACAUUAGCUGAAUACACACAGAGUACAUGGAAGAACAAUAAUUCUUAGGACCUUGCUGUGAAUUCCAUUUUCUCUCUGUGCAUGAAGAAGAUCCACCAGGCGACCUCUUUUAUCCACAUCAGGAACAUAUUCAACUCUCUGAGAAAUUAAAUCUGUGCUAGAUCCGAUCCUUCCAACAGUCAGAAAAACAUAAUUUGAUAAAAAGUCUGAAGCUAAACGCUGCAUAAGGAGACAACCAGUAUUAAUUUCACAUAAGAAAGUUUGCAAAACUCAGAUAAUGAAUCAAUCCAAUAGCACAAAUAAUUUAUUUCUCAUUAAACAUACUUAAUCAAUAAAGACAUAGAAGAUCUCUUUCUUUAUGUUUCUUUAGUGUCUGUAGAUCUAUGUGAGGUAAAUAGAUGCUCAGCUUCAACCGCAAGUUAUUAUAAGAAUCCCAUCGAUGAUCAUACACAUGUGAAUAAAUGACACAAGGUGACAUAUGUUAACCUGUAUCUCCUGUGGGAAGGUUGCGCUGAAAAGCAUGGUCUGCCUUAGGCCUGGUGGCGGCAUGUCCAUUUGCUGGACUAUUUUGCGGAUCUGGGGUUCAAAACCCAUAUCCAGCAUCCUGUCAGCUUCAUCUAAUGCCAAAUAUUUGAUCUCCUUAAGAGAAACCUUUGCUCUCUCUAGCAAAUCCAGUAAACGGCCAGGUGUGGCAACAAGAAUCUCAGCACCUUUCUCGAGAUCACGCAGCUGUUGAUCAUGCAAUAAACACAAGGAUAAAACAAACACCAAAAGAAGCAAAUUAAAUUAGGAAACAAUUACAUGCCAAAUCAAAAAAUUCACGGAAUGGAAACAGAUCUGUACAUGGCAAAGUACAUCUAACAAAACUACUUCAUAAAGACAUGCAAAAGCUACACAGCAAACACACUUAAUAUUAUGAUGGUGCAUUUUACAUUGUUCAAAUAUUUAAGAAGAAAGACUGAUUAUUUUCACAAAUCAUUACUAUCUUUCAUUUGGUUUCACGCGAGAAGGGACAUGAUAUGGCAUUCAGAGUUCUUAGACUAAUCCUGAAAUCUAACAGCAACACUGAUGUCACAGAAAUAACCACAAAUAAUAAUCACAGAAAAAUAUAAAAUCAGUAACUGAUAAUAGUGUAGAUUGAACUCCAAGUGUCACUCCAUACAACAACAGAUAGUAGCGAUCAAAGAGGAGCAAAAUCAUGCGUCUAAUUAAGUGGUUAUGUAAAUAGAAUGUAGUCAAUGAAACAAUGAAACUACAUAUAAGGCAGUUUCAGACCAUCGUGAAGAAUAAUCUAAACAUAAUUUGACUCACGCCAUUGCUCUCAACAAUCACAUCAGCAUGUCAAACCACAGAUUUCCCAGUACUGCAUUAUAGAAUAUACUGUCAAUCCAGCAAGAAGUCGACAAGAUUGUGCAGAAACUAAAAGUGCCCCAUCCAUUUUAUCUAACAAUGACAAACACAUACUACCACAUUACUUAUAAAGGACCAAAAAAAUUCAGUAACAAAAAAGCAGCACUAGCAGAAGUCUUCAAUGUCUUGAUGAAAUUAGUACUCCUGUAUCGAAGUCACAUAUCUAAUUGAAGAAAAGAAACAAUACUACACGAAAAUGACUAUUUUACAUCCUCAAAUUGACAUCAAAUAAGUUGAGAAAUGUGGUACAAUGGAUAGAUGCUUUUUGAGGUUCCUUUGGUAUCUAUAGUUAUUUUUUUAGUGACAAUACACUCUCUCACUACAGAAAGAAUCUAUUAGUCUUCCACUGCAGAAAACCUGAACUAGUAAAACGUUCAAAAGUUGUGCAGAUUAUUAGAAUUUUGCAGUCAAUAUCAAUGUACCCUUAAUGUAUGCAAAAUAAUGACGCUUAAUAAUGUACAGCUAGAGGGAGCUAUUAAAUAUACCUGAUGACCGAUGGGAGUUCCUCCGUAAGCCACGACAACUCUGACCCCUGUUUGAUAGGCAAACUUUUUUGAUUCCCCAAGAAUCUGUGAUGUGAAUCGCCAUGCGAAAUAGGACAAAGGCAAUGAAUCAAAAACAUGAAGAAUAUAUAAAGCAAUGUAAGUGAAGCUCAUGCCGAACCUGGCACGACAACUCCCUGGUGGGGGACAGGAUAAGUGCACGAGGCAAGGUAGUUCGAUCACCGCCAGAGGGCCCCUUGGUCGGGAACUGCCGGCGGUUUCUCAUUACACCGCUGAUGAUCGGGAAGCAAAAUGCAGCGGUCUUCCCCGACCCGGUCUGGGCACAGGCCAUCAGAUCGCGCCCGGCCACCAGUAUGGGUAUAGCGUGUCGCUGGACCGGAGUAGGCUUCACGAAUCGGCAGCGCUGAAUGUUCUGGUUCAGGGCCUCCUCCAGAUCGAUCCCCGCAAAGGUUGUAGCGGGCGGGGGCACAUCAAGCCCGCUCACCUCGACGGGUAUGUCGUCGUAGGCGUCGAAGUUGAUCCCCUCGCCACCGCCGCCAGAAGCGUCAUUAUCCGAUAUCCCCAAGCCGAUGAACUCGUCGGCGAUUUCAAAGGGGUUCCGCUCCCGUCGAGCCUUACCACGGCGGGAGCGGUGGCCAGAAGCUCGACCAUCAGAUUCUCGGUCACUGGAGCCGCGGCGGUUGGGAGGGAUGCGGGGGGAGGAUUGGAGGAAGGAGGGGGCACGAUGAGGAGGAAUGUCGAAUCGACAAGAAGAAAAGGAGUUCCCAAAUUGAUCAUACGAGUUCCUGAGAAAGCGAGGGACGUAGGUGUGGCGGGUUGCAGGUGCUGCCGGAUCCGGGAUGGUCGGCUCCGCCGCGGCGUCAGUCAACGACAUUGCCAUCACCGUCAGUUGAUCAAGGAAUCAACGGACUAACUGUGCUCUUCUCUGCAACUGAGAAGAGAUCGUGCUGAGAAGACCAAGGAGUCAAAAGCACCAAUGACAAACGAGAAAUCUGAGAUGGAGCCAGAGGAGUGAAGAGAAAAAGAGCAGAGAGAAUAUCUCUACCACCACUCGUCUCCUUUUCCCAAGAGAAAGCCAGCGAAAUCUUAAAUGCCACUCACUAAAGCGAAAAAGAAGCUGAACCCUAACCUCGUUCUUCUGUUGUUGCCAACGGAGAGCGAGGAGGGCAGACAGAGAAUGCGGAGGGACACCAUCCCCGAAGGGGAAAAACUUCAGAACCCCUCGCUGCCGAUGAUUGAACGAGAGAGCGAGCGAAUCUUUGAGAGAGAAGCGAUGGACAAGCCGCUUCCGUGUUCGUGUGUAUGUGUGCGUGUGGGGAUGGGCGAUGGGGAUGGGGAUGGGAUUUGGGUGCGUUGUGUUUGGGAGAAGGAAAAGAACCUCGGAAAGGAGCAGACGCAGGGGAACGCUCGGGAAGUGGAAGAGGAUGGCCGUUCCGUUUUCGCUCGUGACGCCGCGGUACGCAUGAAUCUCACGUCGUGUCACAUGCGGCGGGGAGAUCGUUUUUGAUUCGUGGGCGGACAUGUGGCGGUUGGGCCAGAGUUUGACAUCUGCCGUUUGCUUGGAGAUUUGUGAACCUGCUAGAUCAGAUGUGAUGGGUUCAUAGAGUAGCAGGAAGAUGAAGGACAUUCGAUUUAGAUGAAAUGUCUUCGACGAUGUUUAGUCCAUAUAAGCAUAAAAAUUAUAAUAAUGCUUCUAUUAUAUAAAAAAAUUAAUGUUAAGAAUUAAAAUCAAAUAACUAUUGAUCAAAAUUUAGAUAUACAUAUUUUUUUUUUAUAUCAUUCAGAAAUCUUUAUUUGAUCUACAAGAAUAACAUUGUUUGAUACAAAAGUUAUAAUAAUACUAAUAUGCAAAAAGAACUAGAUUUACUUUCUAUCAUUUCAUAGAAAAGAUUGAUGAAAAGAUGAAAAAAGAUUUAUAAUAUUUUUUUCAUAUAUUGUUAGAUAUUGAGUUUUUAGAAAGUCUCAUCUAUUUAUAUAUAAGAGAAGAGGGUCUGGAAUAUAUAAUUAGAAGAGUCUCUCCUAUUAAGAUCAUCUCCUAAAGAUAUAUAUUAUAAUUAGAUUUUUUUCUUGUUGGCGAACUAUAAUAUAUCUUACCUAAUUAAAUAGGAUCAUAGAACCUAAUAUUUUCUCACUUAUCCAUUAAUUGAUAAGAUAUAAAAAAAUUAAACUCAAAAUAAAUAAAAAUAAAAAAUAAUUUAAAAAAUAAUUUUACUAAAUUAAAUUCUAAAAGUUUUAAAAAAUAUUUUACAAGUGUAUAAAUUUUAUAAAAUAUAUCAAUAAAUUCAAUAAAUACACAACAAUACUAUAUUAAGUUUAAUUAUGAAUAUGAUCAAAAUCUUUACAUAUUAUCAAUUUCAUACUCUCAUCUAUAUACCAUAAUAAUGUUAUUCUUUCCUAAUAUAGUCUAUAAUAACCCAUAUAAUUUUUCUCAUCAAAAUAAUCUUAUUAUCAUACUUAAUUAUAAUAUGCAUAUACAUAAAUAUAAAUAAGAUAAUAAAAAUAAAAUACUUUUAAUUAAGUAAAAAAUAUCAAUAAUAGUAUCCACUUCAAUAUGCAUCAUCAUAUUUUUAUGAGUUGCACACAAAAUAGAUCUCCACUAAAAAAUAUUAUUUUCACAAUCUCAUUUUUAAAAAUUAGAAAAAAUAUUUUAUUACAAUCGAUGUUUUCUUUAUGAAAAAAAUCUUUAGCCAUAAGUUUGGUUUUAUAUCGUUCAAUAUUUCAUUUUGAGUCAUGUUUUAUCUUAAAAACUUAUUUGCAAUCGAUUCUUUUAUAGUUAUUGAGAAAUUCAACGGGUUCCUAAAUAUCAUUCCAAUGCAUCAAUUUCAACUCUUUCAUUAUUACAUCGUAUCAUCUUUCAGAAUCGCUAUUGUAUUAUUAGAUUUCGCUCCCAUUACUUUCAUCCUUUUUUAAGAAUAUUGUAUUACUAAAUUUUACUAUCAUUGCACUAUGAUAAAAUAAUAUGAUCUAUAUCCAUUAGAAUUUUUUUUAUAAAACUAAUAAAAAAUUUAAAAAUAAUUAUUGGACUUAAUUUCUUUUCAUAUGAAUUGGAGAUUCUAUCUCGAGUUUUUUACUCAUUGUGAUAUUUUUUCUUUAUAUGCUUAGCUUACUUUUUUUUAAUACAAUCUAUACAGAUAGUGAAGUAUAAAUCUUCCUAAAUAUUAUUAUUUACUAAUCUUUCAAUUCUUUACUUCAAGAUAUGCCCCAAACGUUCGUACGAUAAGAUAAAAGAUUUUUCAUUAUUAAAACUAUAUUUUAAUCCUACAUUUGAUUGUAUAGUCACUAAUAUCUUUGCAAAAUCAAGAUUCAAAUUAAUUAUGUAUAGGCCAUUAUAUAGAAUUUUAAACUAUAUGUUGAAUCUCAGAUUUUGAUGAUGAAAUCAAUUGAUAAAUUAUUGAUCUAAUAUAUAUAUUAAGAUAAGUGUUGUAGGUUUAACUAUGAUAAUGAAUAAGGCAUAAAUUAGAUGUUGGGCCAGAUUUAAAGAUCAGACGUCAUGACAAAGAUUUGGACGAUGUGCCGAAAGCUUGCCAAGAGUUCAUCGAGAGUUCACCAAAAGCAUGCGAAAGUUCACCGGAAGUUUGUUGAGACUUUGUCGAAAGAAUGAUUGACGUACCAGACAAAGAUUGCUUAGUUAAUACCCUAAUUAUCGUAGUUAGAACCUAUAUUGAGUUAAGAUCGAGAGGUAAUCUCAUUAACUCAGUUAGGAGCAUACUAAGCCCAAAAUAGGGUUGAGUUGGGCCGAAUAGAAGGCCCACUCGACCACUUGGAGCUUUGCUAGGCUGUGGCACCGCCCAAGGUGGGCGAUGGAAUCGUUUGAGACUCGGCCUCCUUGGUGGUUUGGGCGGUGGUACCGUCGACAGUUAAUACUGUCAGGCGAUGGUACUGUCCUAUCAGGCAGUGGUAUCGCUAGAGCCCAAUCUUCGAGGCUCUAUCAAAUGAAAGUACAUUCAUACUCGAUGAUGGUACCACUCAAUGUUAGAGUGUCAUGCGGUGGUACCGUUAGUAUCCCGAAAAUUCGAGAAGAGACACUUUUUGACUCCAAUUCUAAAACAUUUGGGGCCUAUAUGCUAGUUAUAUGUGUCCUACAAGUCAAUCACAUGAGUAAUAACACAUAUGACUUAACACACAGUCUUUUUACUUAUUAUUAUUAUUUGAUAUUUUAUCACUUUAUAUUGACUAUUGUUUUAAUAUAUUGUGAUGUUCAUAGAUCUAUGCAAUGUGAAUCAAAUCAUGAUUAGAUCACGACAAUGAGAUCGAUUCGCUUUUAAAUACAGAUCCUAAAUAAUCCUGGUCAUAAAUUACUCGAGAGAGAUAUUGAGAUAAUCGAAUAGAUUGGUGUGUUGUGUACCCAUUCAUAUGAUGGAUGCAACUGGUCUCAUACCUGCUUGUGUGGGGACACUAGGGAUACAGUAUAGAUACUCAUUGGAGAAUGAGUUCACUGAUUGAUCCGCUUAUGGAAUAUUGGAUGGUUGAUGAUGCCUUAUUAUCAAGCAACAAAUUCGUAGUCCUAGUGAUGUAUCUGGUCCUUAGACUUGAGACACCAAGAAUGUCUUAUAUGAGUACUUCAUUCUUUGAUACCAUACUUAUAUGUAUGAAGGUUCCAAAUCAAGCACAACCGAUCAUCGGGAGUGGUAGCCAACCUUACGAGGAUUGUUGAUUAUCGAUAAAGGAUCAUUCAUUAUCAGUAUUAUGAGAGGAAUAUCUCAUAUGUUCUUGCUCAAACAAAUCCCUAGCUAGAGUUAUUCGAAUUGAGAGAGAAAGAGAUAUCUGGGAGAAUCUGAUUAGAACGAGACUCAAGUAGAAACUAUAUGGGUCUGAUAGUACCAUGCUUGGUAUACGGUCUCUGGGAUAUUAGAUAGAUAAAUGACUAUAGGUACACGGUAACUAAGGAUAGAUAUGUCCAAUGGAUUGGAUUCCCAUGUAUCAUUUGAGGACUAUAGUGUAUGUUGAAUCUCGGAUUUUGAUGAUGAAACCAAUUGAUAAGUGUUUAUGAAUUAAUCUGCGUUUUGAGUGGCGCGGGAUGCUUCGAUCAGGAUGAGAUAAUUAAAGCAGGAAGAAUCAUGUUGGACCAGUGGAACAUGUUAGAAGAUUGGACGUCUAGUCGGAGGAUCGGAUGACGUAUCGAUAGAAGGCUUCGAGCCAUAGAUUCAGGCAUCGGGCUAAGAAGAGCAAAAAUUACGCUAAAGAUAUCGGAAUUGCGGAGGUCAACUAGCCAAUUGGGCAAUAGGCCUCAAGAGCGGACGAUGUGUUGAAGAAUCGGGUGAAACGUCAAUGGACCAAUGAUAUGCUGGACAACAUGAUUCAUGCUUAGUAAUAAUUGUCUAGAUCGAAGUGUGUUUUUAUAUAUACAAAAUUAACUAUAAUAUUAAGGCAUAAAGCAAAAUGAAGUCCCGGAGUUAAGAACACGAUUUCAUUGGGAGUUCGAGAGUUCAUCGGAAGUCUAGACGUUCGUUGGAAGUUCUGCAGGAACUAGUCGAGAAGUCCAGGAGCUUGACGAAAAAAACUUCUAGACGUUCAUCGAAGUUCUAUAGGAACCAGCCGAGAAGUCCAGGAGCUUGCUAGAAGAAGCUUAUCGGAACUCGCCAAGAAUAUCGUCGUGAAGUCCAGGAGCUUGCCGGAAGUCCGUUGGAACAUUGUCGGGAGAUUGUCGGAAGUUCACCGGAAGAUCGUCGGAAGCUUGCUAAAAGCUCGCCGGAAGAAACCAAGACCUAAGGACUUAUUUAGCUUAAGUAUGCCUUAUAUUUUAUAGUUAGCACGUAAUUGGGAUUGGAUUUGGGCCAACCCAAUUAUGAGCCAAUUGGGCCCAUGUAAGGAUUGUGCUGGGCCCAAUGAAAAGCCCAAACAGUGACCCAAGAGAUUGCACCAUCGUGGCAUAAUCUUCGAGAUUGUGUUAGGCGGUGGUACCGCCCAGUGCAGUGUCAUUGUCAGACUAAUACUGGUGGUGGUACCGCCCAGCACAAGCAGUGGUACCGUCCGAACCUAGGAAACCCAGGAUGUGAUGUUUUUAGGCUCCAAGUUUGAAUCAACUUGAGGCCUAUAAAUAUCCCUCUCAUCCUUAGUUAAAAGACACAAGUACAGAGAGUUUAAAAGUGAAGAAAUACUAUUGCAAUCACUUAAUAAAUCCCCUCCUCUAGUCUAAGUUUAGAAUUCUGUUUAGGAGGAGUGAGAGCUUGUAAAGGUUGUCUCCUAAACUUGUGAAAAGGAUAAGAGGGAUGUAGGAAGGAGGUUGAUCUUCGGCUAUUAAAGGAAGAUUGUUAGUAGAUAUCGGUGGCCUCGACGGAAGAGGAAUCGGUAGAGUGGAUGUAGGUCACGACGACUAAACCACUAUAAAAUUACCGUGUUCUCUGGUUUACAUUUACUUCUUGCAAUUUACAUUAACUACAAACUGCCUUCAAUACGCUUUUACUUCGCUUUCAAAGUUAAGCAUUUCCGAGUUCGAUUUUAUCGUAUGAAAGGAUUUUCUGAAACCGAAGUUUUUACCGUUGCACUAAUUCAUCCCCCCUCUUAGUGCUGACUAUUUUCCAAACAGUGUAGUAGCCUAGUACAUCCAUAGUUGAUGAGUCGAGUAGAUUAUUAUGAAAAUAAUAAUUUACUAAGCUAGAAAGAGUUUUGAUAGGUAUGACUCACAAUCAGCACGAUAUUAGGCUUAGAUGGUCACACACAUAUGGUAGGCAUUACGAUAAGUAGAUGUUCAGAUAUGAGAUAUCCGCCAGAGUCCCUAUCUUAUUGGAUAUCCAAUAAGCAUAUGAAUUAUUGGAUCAUAUGAAUAAGAUCCAAUAAGAGCCAAUGAGAUAUUAUUGGAUAGAGAUCUAUUAAUCUAAGAGGCUUGGGUAGUUGGAUGAAGAUCCAGUACCCAAUAGGGUAAGAUCCAUUAGAAGUAAGUUGACAGGAGACCUCUAUAAAUAGAAGGGAACCAAUGGUUCAUAGGCUACAGUCUUUUUGGGUUACCUUUCCUAUUCUCCUCUAUCGCUUUACCUCAGAUAGUAGGCCUGAAGACUAGAGGAGUAUCGCCGUAGUCUUGCUGUGUGGGUCACCGCUAGAGAGGAGGGCACUCGACCUCCUUCACCCUCUCCUAGAGAGAGAUCUGUAGGGAUUCAGAGAUAUACGAUCUCACUAGGUAAUAUAAUAUUUCAUAUACACAGUUUUAAGUUUCGCAGAUUUUGUAUACCAAUCUUUGCACGACGACGAACACAUAUUUUAAAAAUUAAGUAUUUUGUUUUCUGUUCUUUCGCUACGUAUGUGAUGUCGCCCCUCGGAUUUCCCUAUACUACAAAUAUCCCACUCCUUUCUGCAUUAAUGAGUAACAAAAGGAGCAUAAACAUGUGAAAAAAUCUUUUAAGUGUUAGGGUGUAAAAGUACUUUAAAAGUGCUAAGAGUCCUCCUCUUUUUUUAGCUUUGUAUUCAUUAGAGAAGAGGUCCGAGGCUUGUAAGGGUUAUCUCCUAAACCCGUGAAAAUGAUAAAACUUUGUAAGAAGGUGGUUGGUCUUCGUAUAUUGAAGGAAGGCCAUUAGUGGAUGCCGGUGACCUCGACGAAGGAGGAAUCGAAAGUGAUCGUAGGUCAUAAUGACCAAACCAUUAUAAAUCCGAUAUAUUCUUUCCUUACUGUUUUCUUUCAUUACUUAUCUGCACUCUACGCUUUAUAUUUACUCUAAGUCAUUACUUUCAUUGCUUUCCGAUUCGGGCUUUGACGAAACGAUUUUGUCAAACAAAACUUUUCAAAUCAACGUAAUUUUUAUCAUUGUACUAAUUCACCCCCUCUCUUAGUGUCAUAUUGAUCCUAACAGAAGCUUUGUUGAAUCAUAAAAUAUACCAAAUUUAUCAUUACCAAAAGAAAGAUAAUAUUUUAACUCAACAAUUCUAUAUUGAGAAACUAAAUUUUUAAAAAUAGUAAGAACAUAACAUAUACUUAUAAGAUUCAUAAGAUUAUCCAUCUGUAGAUGAUAAGUUCCUAGUAUUAUCAUUUUCGUUUUAAGAUUGAUUCCUCAUAACGAUGAAUCUUUUAUAUUUUUUUAGUUUCUAGGUUAAAAUAAAUUUUUAUAUAUUAUUGGUAAUAUGAGUUAAAAUACCUGAAUCAAUACACUAAGUAUUAGAAGGAACCUUUGUAAUAUUUGAUUCAAAAUAUACAAAUAUUAAAUUUAUAUUUUUUUUUCAAACCAAACCUUGCAUUUAACAAUCAUUUUUUAUGUCUUAUCACAUCUCAAAUGUACAAAAACAAUAAACCAUCAUUUUAUUAUUCAUAAUUUACAAAAGACACUCUUUUUUUUAUCUUGAAUUCAAAUAUCUAUCUUUACGGAUAUCAAAUAUUUUUUUAUUGAAAAAAAUCAUGUCUUCUUAGUAAAAGCCAAAGGUGAUAAAAACUCUUCUCCACUUAAGAGAUUUAAUCUAUUAUAAAGUAACAUAUUAUUCUGAAAAUAAAUAUAGGAUAAAAAUAUAUUAGCAACCACGUGUUGGUAGGAAUAUCCAAAAAAUAUAAAAAUAAUCUUUAAUAUUCAUAAAAUAUAUACAAAUAUCAAUAACUUAAUAUAAAAUGAUAACAUAUCAAUCUAUUAUAAAACAUAUAUAUUAAAAAUAAUAAUAAUUCUUAUAUAGUAAAUAAAAUCAUCAAUCGAUUCCAUUUAACAUAUCUCAAUCACAUAAGAAUAGUUAGAUAACUUAGGCAUACAUUACACUCGAUGGAGUAUUCUCCUAACAACGGACGAAGAGACAUAUUCUACAUAAUAGAUUCCUCUCAAUAAUUGAUGGAGUUAUAUUUUUUACUUGCCUAAAUGGGGGGGGGGGGACACGUUACUCCCAAUAAUGAAUGGAGGAACUAUAUUAUCAUUACAUCUGAUCGUUUGUUAAUCUCUGAAGAAAAUUGUCUUACAUACCCUCGGCAAAGAUACAUAGUUAACUAUGAUCAUUCAUUUACAUUCAUUCAUACAGUCUAAUAAAUAGUAUGAUAAAAUAUUAUGAGGGACUAUGCUUGAUGUAUUACUUAAUGACCCAUAGCUCUUUUCAUAUAUUGUACUUCCAAUGUAAGCCACUCAACAUAGUCACAUAUAUACACGAUAAUAAUUAUAUCAAUAUUAAUAAUUUAAUUAAAAAAUAAAAAAAUUAAUGAUUAUUUUCAAAUGACAUAUUUAGAUAAAACUUUUAAGUUUAUUAAAUCAUAAAGAUUUGAGAUAAUAAUCUCUCAAUAGUCUUCAAUUAACUAGAACUCUAAUUGGAAUAACCUUAAAUUCUUACUAAAUCAAUUUGAAAUCAUCCUAAACCAGUCUAAUUUAGAUUUAAUUAAUCUUGAACCAAUCAAAUCUAUUUGAUUCAAUUAACUAACAAACUCAAACUAAUAAAGAUAGAGAAAAUUAGAUUAUAUUGGAAGUGUUAGUCCAGAUCAAACUGACCCACUUGAGUCUUAGAUGAGUCAUAUACAUCGCAUAUGCUUGUCCGAAGUAGUAGGUUGGACCGAGGUACAACAAGCUAUAUAAAGGGGUAAGCAAACCUAGUUUCAUGAGUUGGGCUGAGUCUCACUCACAAGUUGAGUUGAGUUUUAUCACUAAAUUAGGUAAGGCUAAGUUUCCAGGUUAGGUCAUGCCUAGCCACAUCAAUUCGAUCAUGCGUGACCAUAUGGGCUGUGUUAUACUUGGUCACAUAAGCUAGAUCAUGUCUAACCAUAUUGGUUGGGUUGUACUUGAUCAUAUGGGUUAUGCCUUACUUGGCCAUAAGGGUUAGAUUGUACUUGAUCACAUGGGUUGGGUCAUAUUUGAUCACAUAGGGUAAGGCUUACCUAGCCAUAAGAGUUGGAUCCUAUUUGAUUGUAUGGGUUGAGUUGUACAUACCACAUGAGCUAGGUCAUACUUAGCCAUAUGGAAUGAAUUAUACCUAACCACAAGGGCUAGUCGACCUAGUCAAACAAAUAAACUUAACUUAAGUUAGACAAAAUUAGAGUCUUCUUAUUAAAUUAUAUUUUAAUAUUAUAAAUUAUUAAAGAAUAACUCAAAUCUAUGAAUUAAAUAAUUUAACUUUAUGGUCUUGAAUUUAAAAUUAAUUAAAUAAUAAAGAUUCAUACAUAAUUCUUAAAAUAUAAAUAUAUCUAAUUAAAUGAAUUUAAACUAUUAUAUUAUUUUUAAAAAUAAUAUUUUUAAUAUUUAAAUCGAUUUUAAAAUUUACUUCAGCUUUAUAGAUCAUUAUAAAUCAAAUAAUCAUUCUAACAUCACAAAUCAAUUAUCAUUAUUUAUUAAUUAUAAAAUUUUAAAAUUAAUAUAUUAUAAAAUUAUAACAAUCAUAAUAUCAAAAUUUUCUAAGCAUAAAUCAAAACUAGUUAAAACAAAAAAAAUCCAACCGAGAAUCAUUUCCUCAAUUCUCCUACUAUUGAUGGGUGAGAAAUAAAGGGGGGGGGGGAGUAUCUUUUAUAUAGGAGAAGAUGAGCUCUCCCCGAAAGAUAUACAAUAAUUUAUUUUUUAUUUUACUUUGACACACAAAGACAUAAUUAUAAUAAUUAAAUUAUUAAUACUUUAAUUAAUUAAUAAAAAUUUUAACUUAACUACAUAAUUAAAAAAAUUAAUUUUAAUCAUUUCCUUAACUAUACUCUAUAAAUAAGGAAGUUAAUAAUUUAAAUAAAAAUAAUAUAUUAUUUAUGAUAAUUAAUUUAUGUUAAGGGAGAAAAAUUAUCAAUAAUUACACAUUCUUUUCUUAUUAUAAAAUAAUUAAUUUAUUGUAGAGACUUUCUUUUUGUUAGCCUGACUAUCAUUUUUAGACUUGGCAAAUUUAUUUGGUGGAUGAUUCUUUAAUUUUUUUUCUUAUUAAUAGCUCCUUAAUAGCAGUCAACUCAUUUAAAUCUUAUUUAUCUUUAUUUAUAUUAUAGUGAAUAUUGGAUGUGAUAAAUUGAAGAGGAAUAGAAUUAAGAACAAACUACACGAGAAAAUAGUCAUCCAUAUUCAUGCCUAAUAUUUUAAGUUUCAUAGCCUUAUUAGUCAUAUUGAUGAUUUGAUCUUGAAUCUCUUGAGUAUCAAUCAUCAGUUGUAGUCAGUUCUUUUAUUAAUAUAUCAACCAAUGACUUAUCAAUAUUUUUAAAUCUGUCUAUUAUAGUCCUCAAAUAUUUAUAUAUGCUAGUUGCAAUCAAGUCUUUAUGUUAUUUAUAAUUAUUAUUUUUAUAAACAUUAAACUAAGCUUAUUAGAUUUUUCCUAAGCAUUCAUUUUAUUAUUUUAUUUCAUAGUGUUUUCAUCAAUUAACUCUUGCAAGCCUCGCAAUAAAUAAUGUAAGGUCAAGAUCUAAUAUAUAUAGUAUCAACUGUACAUACUUUAACUAGUUUGAAUAAUUUAAACUAGAGAAUAUAUGAAGAAACAUUUGAGUGUAUGCAAGGAAGUAACAUUAUAAAAUAUAAAAUAAUAUUAAUACUUUAAGUUUCUAAAAUAUGAUGAACGAUUGAUAUCAUUUAUAUUUUAUUUUUGGUAAAAUAUUGAUAUAUCCAGUACCCACUCAAAAUUAUUUAUAAAGGAUUAAUACCAUUCUUGUGAAAUAAUAUUAUUAUAUUUUAAUAUAUAAUUAUAAACUAUAAAGAUAUCCAAAAUAGGACAAUCCUGUCUCAUCACAUAAAUAUUCGAAAUAAAUUCUCUUUUAAAAUUAAAUAAAUAUCUUAAUUAUAUGUAUCAUUAUAAAUAUUAUUUUUUCUUAAUAUGGACUAAUUUUUAAUAUAAUUUUAUUUUUACUCUAAGCUACUUUGGCAACUAUAAGACCAAUACAAUAAUAUAAAAUAAAAUUUAAAAUAAUUUAUAAAUUAUAAAAUAUUUAUUAUAAUUUAUAUCUCAUAAAACUAUCAUCUUAUACUACUUUGGUAGCCAUUAGUUAGAUAAAACGUAGGAAUAUAAGUUAUAAAUAAUAUUCAAUAAAUAUUUUUUAAUCUAAUUUAUAUAGAAAUAGUUUAAUAAUAAAUAAUAAUAAUUAUUAAAUAUUAAUCAGUAUAAAUGAAAAAACGAUAACUGUAAUUAUAAUAAAAUAUAAAUUAUGCCUUUAUAUAAAAUAAAUAUUAUUUUAUAAUUUCAAAUAUAUGCAUAUAAAUAACUACAUAAAUAUCCAAGUUUAAUAAUUAAAAUUUAAUUAUUACAAGCAAGAAAUUUUAUUAAUAUGUCAUAUGAAAAAACUAUAAAAUAAAAUUAUAUUUUAUAUUUUUUUAAUUAUGUAAAUGACCUAAAUGGGCUAAUGAAUCUUAUUUAAUUGGAUAUCUCAAAAUUAAGCCAAAAUUGAGCUGACCAAAUUAGAUAUAAUAGCCAAAUCAAUCAAAUCAAUCAAAAUUGGGUUUAAUAAAAAUCUAAUUUAGAAAUAAUUGGAUAAAAAUUGGGUUAAAAUUAGGCUUUGAUCAAAAUUUGAUUAAAGUCGAUUAAAUUAGUUAAUUUUAUAGUUGAGGACACAAGUCAAAAAUAUUUUAUUUUUGAAGGAUAAAAUUAUAAUUUUAUUUGGGAUAUAUUGAAAAUAUUUAAUUUUUGAAGGAUAGAACUAUCAAGAGGACACUGAAUGAAAUUAAAAAAAAAUAAAUAAAAUAAUCUUUUAAUAGAUAAAAAAUCAUAAUAUUUUUUUCUCUCAAUUAUUGCAGCCUAUACGAGGCCUACGACAAUUGUAGCGUGUGACCAUCCACCAUCCGAAUUUCUUUUGUGUUUGACCAAAGACCCUACAACCGUCGUGACAUUCCAUCACACCCACAUGCAACCAUUCUUAUUCAUGUGACUAUCACAAUCGAGUGAGUCCUCAUUGAUCGUAUCGACCAACAACUACGAUGGUUGCCCAGCCACUUAGUGACUCUAAUAAUAGUUCUUAUUAUCUCUCGUUCUAAAGCAGGUUAAGCAAAUAUUGAGAUUUAUGGACUCGCUUAGUCUUCCUUCUUUUCUCCUAAUAAUCAGGAGGGUGUUCUAGAUAAAUUCACGAUGUUUAACUCUAGUAGCAAAUGUGACUAAAGAUACUUUAAAAUUUUAAUUGCAAUAGAAUCUUGCAUCAACAAAUCAAGUGCUAAAAUUAUGCUAGACAUAUUUCUAUCUUCUUGUUUUCUGCUGAUAAUAAUCUUGUUGUACUUCUUUGUAUUGUUCAUGUAUUACAGGGGUUCAAAAUUUAUAUUUGUUAUUUGAUUAUAGAGAAGAACAAAGGAGUAUUGGUGUCAAAUUUGAUUGCUGUGCAAAUAUAUGUUGAUUACUGCUCAGAAAUAGUAAUGAAAAACUAGAAAUAUGAAUCUAAAGCAGAUGUAGGUACUUAUCUUUGUUGAGUUGGAUACAUGGAUGAGCCCUUGCGAGCAAGUCGUAAGCAUAAAAGUUGUGAUAUAUUUUUAUAUUAAGAUUAAAAUUAAAUAAUAUUAAAUUAAAUUUAUUAUGUGUAUCUUUCGAUGUCAUCUAAGAAAGAUCUCUAUGUGAUCUGUAAAGACAUUGACCCAGAUCCGAAUAUCAUAGCGACGUCGAUAUGCAAAGAGAACUAGAUACUUCUUCUUUUCUCUUGAAAGAGAAAUCAUUUAAGCCCCAGAGAUACUUUCUAUUUAUAGAAGAGAACAGAUAGUUAAAAAUAAUUAUUAGGUUUUACAGCUCUGCCUCAAUACUCCCUCUUCUUUAAGCUCAGUAGAUGAUUCUUGACAGUGAUCUUGAUCCAAAAAAAAAGGUUCGACCACUUUGCCAUUGUAUUUAUCAAGAAUUUGUGUAAUAUGUAAUAUCUUUCAUCAUUCUCCUGUCUGUUGAUGCAGUACAUUAUCUCUCCCUUCAUCAGGUGAUAUUACUGGUGAUUCCAAGUCGAGCAACACAGGCAAAGUCUCAGCCCAAGGAGUAAGUUUUCUCAGGUAAAUGUUUCAACAAAUAUAAAUAUUUAAAUGGACUAAAAUUCCAAGAGUAUGUUUUCUCUUUCAAAAGUGCAAUGAAGACAGGGGUUGCAGUGAACAACAUCUUAGGAAGGUGGUGGGAGCUCUCCACGGAGGAAACUGGAGAACAUCAACAAUGCUCGCUCGGGUUGGUAGCUCGGAACCAUGUGCCCUGCUCCCCUCACCGUGACGAGCGUCAGUCCUCCUCCAUAGCCAACUACAUAGCCUCCUACCUGAUCACAUAUAUCCAAAAGUUGCACAAGCAUCAAAUCUGAAUCUAGACCGACCCUAUACCAACACAUCAUAGUUCUUCGGAUUCUUUUGUCUUCUCCAAACCUUAAAUAUUUGAGGUCGAUGGCAGACUGCCAAUUACCUGUUUGUCGGAAUACCACGAACGCCAUGGGUUCUUGAUCGGCAGCUUCAUGAUUUUGAUUGCCUCAACCGUGCCUCUGUACGGGCACACCGUAUCGGUAUCACCACUGUGAGACAUCAGAAUAGCAAGAAAGAUAAGUAUGACUUUAUGUACUGUAGAUUUUUGGACGAGAAGGAAAAGGAAUGCUAAAGCAAGAAUGAGAGGACCUGAAUAGCCACACCCUCAACCCACUGUCGACGAGCUGCUUCAUGACCGGCACUGUGCUCUUAGGACUGUCAUUCCAAGGGAGAUCACUGCAUGAUACUCGAACAAGGAAAGGUCAGCGUGUGUAAAGGUUUCAUCCGCUCAUGCUGAUCUUUAAAACAGACACAGAGAGAGAAGCAAUCAGUACGUGCAAGAACUCCAUGGUCCAUCAAUCUUGGCAACAUUCGCAUGAAGAGCCCUUUGCACCUCAGGAUCGUUCAGGUACGCCUCCACGUAAGUAUCCGAGCAGGGAUCUAUGUCGGCCAUCUGUUGUAUUUGAUCAUCAACAUCUAAACUUCAUCUGGAAGCUAAUCAUCUUAACUUAUUGCCAGCAGGAAUGGAUAUCUUACCGAUAUGCCAGACUCAGAAGAACUGUUGGAGUCGACGCAAACGGGAGCAUAUGCAUUGUAAGGAUCAAUGUUUCCGGCCUCUGCAUCGGCAUCUGUUGUAGCUUUGUUGCACUCUUGGUUUAUGAUGGCAGAGAAGUUGCAGGAUCGACGAAUUCUAGCAAAUGUCUCGUCGGAUAUCAGUGCGUGACUCCACAGAAACUCGUACCUUCCUUCGCUGUUGGUUGCGUCAUCAACAUAAGCGUUCCCGAUCUAGGAGGAAACAUCACCCAUGUCGUAACAGUUAAGCUGUGGCAGACGAGCUAAGACUCUCGUGAGAUCAGAUUCACUUACUGCAAUGCCACUGAGGUUGAUGAGAGUCUGGUUGGCGAGCUUGUUGCGGUGCAGUAUGAGCGAGGCGAGUUGGGGGACGUAGUGGCCGGCGUAACUCUCCCCGGCGAUGAAGAACAUGCGAUUCUUGUAUUGGGGGAAUCUCUCCAGCCAGUUUAGCAGAAAGGUAAAUGUAUCUUCCGCGGUCCUAUUGUCUCCGCUUUGAUCAUAAUCUGUGGUAGUAUUCGAGUACGAGAAGCCAACCCCUGCCGGGGAUUCCAAGAAGAGCACAUUGGCCUCUGUCACAGUUGCAGCCGGUCAUCAUCAGAACAUGGUCCAAGUGCUCAAGUUGAAGUAGAAGAACCUCCCAUUACCUUCAUUCCAAGCAUAAGGAUUUCUCUCCAGCGUUUUGCCAUCGCUUUUUACUCUGAAAGGGCCGAAUUCUUCCAUGGCUCCAUAUGCCAGAGAGGAGCACCCUGGCCCUGCAAUCAAAUACGAUCGAGAUCAUCCAAGGAAAACGAAGCUGUAGGAGGUCCAAAAUCCAACGGCAAGGCAUUCAGAUCACCUCCGUUAAGCCACAAGACGAGAGGCUUGGACGAAGACCCGCGAGGGGACUCGACGAAGUAGUAGAACAGCGCCCUCCCCUUCUGCGGGUCAACCGUCACGUGCCCUGCAUACUGAUCGAAGUCAACGCCGCGGGGUUGCCCCGGCAAUGCUGUGAUCUUAUCGGCGUCACUCAGGCCAUCCUGAGGGCCGACGUAGACCGACGAGGAGGCCGAGUCGGCGGCGUCGAGAUCGAGCCAUGGGUCAGGUUGAUCCGACCAUGUCGAUCUCUUGGAUUGAGUCAGCCUUAUUAGUUGCUCAGCCUGAUUCGCUUCGUUGACGUUGAGCAGCGCGACGCUGCAGGAGGCGAGAAGCAACGUGAUGCAUGCAAACCUCAUACUCUCUGUAUCUGUGUUGCCUUGUCUACGGAGCCACAGAGCGAGAGAGAGAUCUAUAAAGGCCGGCCAACCACUAAUAUUUGGAAAGUCGGUCAUUAUUUAGGAGGACAGGUCAUGGGAGAACAGCAUACCGUUUUGAGUACUAUAUAUAUAUAUAUGACGAAUAUAGCUGUCAUGGGUGAGUUGUGAAGACUUUAUUGAGCAUACAUAUAUGUUUACAUAUAUUUAUGUAUGGCUCUCAUUAUCAUGGUGAUUGCGUAGAACUAUAUUUCCUUGGAUAUCCUUUGAAUUAUUUUUGCUAUAAUUGUGUGACAAUUAAAGAUAUAUUAAUGAGUCCUUUUCGAAGCAAAAACAUUGUGUUUCCUCAUUGUCUUUCACAUACAAUUAUUUCCACACACAAAUCCUUCUGUGUCUGCAGUGAUACAUAAUGCCUUACCUCCUCAUCUGAUAGAUACUUGUAGUGAUUCAUUCACCAAGUAAUGCUUUCCUAAACCCAAAAUAAACACCGCUCCUUCAGCAGAUUCGUGAACAUGCUUUACCUUCUCAAAAACAAUAUGCAGGUACAUAUUCCAUGGACUGAGUGACUAAUUCAGCGAAUUCUAAGAUGAAAUCAUUUACGCUGCAAGAAACGAAGUAUCAUGUGAAUCUUAAAUAGGAUGCUGCUGUGGAUGGAAUAGAGCUUCAAGAUUCCAAAAGCUACAGAGAAAGAUAGAAUCUCGUAAAUUUGUUCCAGCUAUUAUAUAGGUAGGUAAGUUGUCGAUAUUAAUGUGUUGCAUGAAUGUGUGUUGGAAACAUAUGAAAUGUUAAAGAUAGAUUAAAAAAGAAACCAUACGAUUAUGGUUCUCACUUUGGUCGGAUUAUGGAGAAAAUAAUAAGAAGACUAAUGUAAUUAAUUACAAUUAAAUGAUUAAAAAAAUAUUUGCUUGUAGAAAGAAUUAUCGUAUCAUAUUUCGAACCAAUUGCGGAUAGAUUUGUUGUACCAUCUAAGCUCACGAAUAAGGAAAGAAUCGAAUGAUAUGUAUUGAGUUUGACCCAUAAUUUAUGAACAAUAAAGAAAAGAUUUGAGAACUUAAAAGUGUCGGAUCUGUUUAAAAUGCCAAAGCCAAUAAAUAGUUCAUGUGAUAUGGCAAUCUCAAUACAUUUUCUUGAAUACAAAAUUCAACCUCAUGCAUUUUCAAAUUUUUUCUAUUAUUAAACAGGUAAAAUGUCAGAAUUUGUUUAUCAUGAUACCAAGUUUUCAGAUUCUUCAUGAAAAUUUCAAGCAUAACCUUAUAUUGCAUCAUUGCAUCUUAAGUAUAAUCGAUUUAUUGUUCAUGAAAAUUUCAAGCAUAACCUUAUAUUGCAUCCUUUGAAGACCUUCUUCACCUUUGUAAUCUAGACUUUUACUUGAACCAUUCAUGUAUGCAUCAAUAUUAAGCAACAACUAAGGUCAUGAUCUUUCACAAAACAAAGCACUCUUUAACACAAAAUGAUUCUGGUCACAGAUCAUGAUGUUUUGUACAAAGUCCUUGUCUUUAUAAACUUGCCAUAUUCUACACACAAAGAAUAAAAGUGAAACUUAAGAUUACUGCAACAGAAGCUUGAACAGUCCAGUGACCAAGCAAAAUAUAUUAUGAGAAUAAAUAAUCAUAAAUAACUAAAACUUCUUGACACGGGGCGUGCGCACAAUCACCACGUGUAUAGAUUCUUGCUGACUGACUUCCAAUAACAUCCGUGUCCUUAAUAGGAUCAGCCAGGAAGGUUCAGCAAUUGACACCACACUGUCCCAUCGUUGCAGCCUUUUGCGUGGGAGAAGUAAAUGGAUCGAUAUGUACCCAAAGCAAUGAGAAGAUUGAAGCAAGGAGAAUGGACCAGACGAUGACGAUGGUAGGUGUCCUGUUCUGCCGACCCAUAAGACCCUUGAGAAAAGGAUACAGAUGUGCAAUCACCCAAAAUGCGAAGAACAGCCUUCCAAACAGAGGACCCCAUGACUGGUAGCCGCUGUUAACGGCAUAAGAGACGCCUGCGACUAUCCCUACCAUGUUAAUGACCAGGACAGUGGUCGGUGGAAUCAGGAGACUUGUCCACUUGAAGAUAUACAGUUCAGAGAAAUCUCCAUCCUCGUCAGAUGCUUUUGACGUGACAGUGAAGCUGGUAUCUAUUCCUGCUAACACCUUCAGCAAACCCUGGAAAACAGCAAACAGAUGAGCUGAUGUGCCACCGAUCACCCAGAACUGCUCAUUCCUCCACCAGUCCUCAAUCCCAACACCACUCCACCUAAGUUCAAGAAUUCCCGUAGCAAAGAUAGAGAUGAAGAGCAGAAUGAACCACAUUCCAGCAUAAUUGCUUAUCUGCAAGAUGGAUAAGUAAGAUCAGAAGAAACCCCAGCAAUGUAAAAGAGGCAAGUUACAAUUAAGUAUAAAAUUGUGGUAAUCGAUCACAGUGAUCCAUCAAAUUGUCAACAAAAUGGAACCGAUUUGGAGACUAUUCAUACGGCAUACUACUGAACAUGCCAUUCAUGUGGUCGAAUGUAUACAAUCAUAUUCUAAACUCAUGAAUUUUGGGAUCAAGGAUUUUGAACAACUUCUGCAGAUGUAUAUUAAUAAAACAAUAUCUCCUUUACAACCAAGAUCCAAGAACCAUGAGCUUGGUUGGUAGUUGCAAAGAGAAUGCCAAGAUACCAGAUGUAUUAGAUCUAGAGAAGUAACUAGUUUUACUACAAACAAACAAGUGAAAUUCCAGAAAUUGGUUAGUUAUUGAGAGAAAGUAUAUUUCCUUAACUUCAAACUAAAGUUUCUCAAAAUGCUUAUGCUGUCUAUACCAGGGAUACUGCCUACGGAAUAAUAGGUAUUACAAUUAAACAGAAGUAAAACCAUAAAAUGUCAAACCAGUAAAUAUUUGAUGGCCGUACAUGCUUUUGCAAUUCCAUAUGGAGCCAGAGGAUAACACUAUUAAAGGCAACACUGAGAUCUAUUGCUUUAUACUAGUCAUGCAAAGAGUAAAAGAAAUUAAGACAAGAAUGAAUAUAUAUGAAACCAAAUGGGAAGACUAAACGUAUAAAUGUGAAGAUCUAACCUCUGGAAUAAUAAAUUUUCCUGUGAGAAGGCAAAUAGCAGGAAGAACACAAUAGGCAAUCAGUGGGAUAGAUGUGAUAGGAUAAACUAUGGUAUUGAUGUAUGCCACCCUCUCCAAAAGCUUCAAUCUUCCUUUGUAGCCAUACCAGAUAGGGCAAUGUCUACUGAGCAGAAUUUCAAUUGAUCCCAAGGCCCACCGCAACACUUGGUUAAGACGAUCAGACAGAUUGAUUGGGGCAGAACCCUUAAAUGCAGGGCGGGGUGGCAUGCAAUAAAUUGAAAUCCAUCCACGGGCAUGCAUCUUGAAUCCGGUAAGAAUAUCCUCAGUAACAGACCCAUAUAUCCAGCCAAUCUGAAUGCAGGUGCAUAAGCUCAAUUCAUCAACCUUUGUAAAUAUAGUGCUAAAAGAUACUAGAUGCUGAUUAAGUAUCAUUCAGACUAACCUCCUUUCCCCAUUCAGUCUUGUCUUCAUACCCACAGCUAAUAACAUGUAUGGCUUCCUUAAGAAGAGACGCUGGAUCUGUGGAUGGUGGUAUGCCUCCCUGUUCCAUGAAGGUGGAUGCAACGAAGAUUGGUGACUGACCAAAUCUCUUUUCCAAGCUCCUCUGAGACAUCAAGAGUGAUCUCUCAUCCUCGUAACCUUCAGAGACAAUCAAUAAGACAUGCUAAGGCUUGAUAGUUUAUUUAGAAAGAUGCAAGACAAGAAGGGAAAAGAAGAGAAAAUAACAUGACAAAAGUGUUCUGUGCAUUCAGAGGGAAUUUAUUCAGAACCAGGAUGGUCUUUCAAUAAGCAGAAUCCCAUGUAGCUUAAAUAGGUAAGUUUCUAAGGCACAAAUCAAAGUUAUGGCUGCCAAACAACAUGCUCUGACAUGCCAGACGUAGUGCCCAUUAGCAUGUCAAAAAGAGUGAGAAAGUUAUAAUAUACAAAAACAACCAAAACACAUUCACUUGAAUAGACAUACCAACCAAAUGAUCAACAAAUCCAAUUUCAUUCAAGGGCAAUUUGAUUUAUUCAUUUCCUAUAUCAUGAGACAUAAAAAGAUCCAUAUCUGGCUUAAGUACAAUUGGAGUUAGGAUAAUAUCAUUAUAGAUAACUUUAGUUUCAUUAAAAAGAUACAGGAUGCAUCAUAAAGAAAAUGAACACAACACAGCAAAAAAAAAAUUUCAAUGGUCGGUUGCAAUGAAGUGCUAGAACGUUCACAAUGCUAAGACAUAUGCAAAAAUUUUUUGUCAUAUUAGAAAAGAUCAAUAACUAACAGUCAGAGAUCCAAGGAUCAACAUAAGGCAUGAGUAGGAAGGACAUUUAAUAAUAUCAUAGAGGCUUUACGCAUAUGCAAAUAACAAAUACAUAUAAAGAAAAUUAGAGUUUUAGCCUCUCCAUCACCAUUUAACAUAAUUAGCAUAUAAGAAGCAUUUACCCUUUGUGAAGUUCCUCUCUGCCACCAAUCAACAUUAUUGCAACCUAUGAGGCAUAAUUACUUUGAAAUUUUAUUGUGUUAUACAUAUGAAGUUCUUUUAAGAUGGAUAAAUGAUUAACUAAAUUUUUUAUAUGCUAUUUGACCUAAACAUCAAUAAUUAGCAAAAUCAACGGAAAAAACUUCUUGUUAUCUUCUUGGUAUUCUUGAUGUAUCAUGUUAAAGUAGUAUUUUUCAAGAUGAAUGGUUUAUUAAUUACUUAAAAGUAAUAAUCGUUUACCUCUGGUUCAGUGUCAACCCUAAAAUAUCAUGAAUUUUGAUAUAUAAUUAGCUAAUCUAACACUCUAUAUAUAUUAUCAAACAUUUUCAUAUGUAAUAUUGUACAUUCAAUGCAUUCUUUGUUGUAUUAACCAUGCCUUAUUUUAUUCUACGUUUCCAAGAUUUGGUAUCCUAUAUCCAUAUCCAUGCUUUAUAGAUUGCAAAUGAUUUAUCCACAUCAAUAGCCACGGAAGCAUCUAAUUUCCUGUGAAGUUAUUACCAUCACAGGAUAUUCAUUAAGAGUAAAUCAUGAAAAAUUUCUUUCGCUGAUUCAGGUCCUCUUAACCAAAAGAUUUUGAUGCAACAGAAGGGAAAAGUAUUUACCUUCAAUUCCUUCCUCCAUGUCUUCCAUAUUGAAGAUGGGAACUGAAGACUCAGUUCUCUUCAUAGCCCUUUUCUUACUAUCAAUAUAGCUCCUGUCCCCUCCCUUUCGCUUCUUUCUUGAACCACAACAGCUCUUGAAAAUAAUGUUCGGUUCCAAAUCAGCCUCAGUCAACACAGGAUCAUAGCCAUACAAGGCCUGCCUAUUGAAGCAGCACCCUGUUCCCACAUAAACAGGACCCUGGAUGCCAUCCAAACCUUUCAAGUUGAUCUGCAAAACAUAAUUCCAGUAAGAAAGAAUAUCUUUCCACCAUGCCCAGUGCAUUCAUAUGUUGGUAUAUUUCUUACAUCAAAAAACACAAUGUUGCGGUUGGCAUAUCGAUCAUGCAAGUCAAUGCCAUCAAAUCUUUGAGGAAACUGAACAUAGCAUGUCUUUUUUCCUAGUGCAGGAUCCAUCAUAAAACACAUUGCUUCCCGAAGAGCUUUGCUGUUGUUGAAGUAAUGAUCACAAUCCACAUUGAGAAGGUAGGCACCAUUGGUCAAGACAGCAGACACACGAAUCUGGCCAGCAUAACGAAAAUUAAAGGUUCAAUAAUUCAUUAGCAAUGGCACAGAUAUGGGAGAAAGAUGGAGCAUACACGUAGCAUGCAGAUACUAUGAGUUUACAAGUAUGAAGUAAGGAUACAAACCAAUGCAUUCAUUGCACCAGCCUUUUUGUGAUGCUGAAAGCCUGGCCUCUUCUCACGGGAAACAUAUACAAGUCGAGGUAGCUCGUUGCCAUCUGUAUCAAGCCCUCCACUGUGCCCUAAGAAGACCUAAUUCAACCAAACAAGGGAUUAGAAAAGUUAAGCUGGUUAAACAAUAUAAUGAAGUGGCGUGAAAAAGUAUAUGGAACCUGUAUCAUGCCAGGAUGAUCUCUUGGAUUAUUUCCAGGCCAGGGAGUUCCAUCCUGCAUUGUCCAACCUUCUUCUGGAGUUUUCUGUGCUUUGGCAACAAGAGCAUUUAUCCGUACCUUGAACUCUUCAUAUUCUCUCUGAAAUGGAAUGAUCCAUGGGUCAACAUCAUUUAGUACUCAAAAUUAUCAUAUAAGUGCGUUCAGUUCCCACCCUUACCUUCAUUGCACGUCGUUCUUUCACAAACGAAGGUUGAAUUUUGUCUUUCAGGUAAUCUAUCUUUUGAGCAAAAUAGAACUCUGGGGCCCUGGGUUCAAUAUUAUGCUUCUUGCAAAAGGGUACCCACUUCCUUGCAAAUUCGGCUGUCUCUGACAAUGCUUCGAAGGUAAGCAUCGCUGAACCAUCAUCAGAAACAUAGCAUGAGACUUUGUCAACAGGGUAAUCCACAGCAAGAAUAGACAAAACCGUGUUGGCUGUUAUAAGAGGAGGUUCUUUCAGAGGAUCCACUGUACUGACGAAAACAUCAACAGGAGCUAAUUGUGAUGGUUCCCCUUCCCUAUCGUAUCUACAAACGUGUAGUUUGAAGAAUCAGAAUGAAAGUUAUCGAAAAAUUGCAUAGAAUACCAUAUGACAAAACGGGCAAAGAACAUGUCUUGAUAACUAACCUCAAUGCAAGCCUUUCAAGGUACGUCUCACGGUUGAUCGGAUACCAUUUUGGAAAUUGAUCAAGAAGCCAUGACAAUGCAAACCAGAUCUCACAAAUGACCGAUGUUAGCCACAAGGGGUAUGCAUCAGGUACCGGAUGAGUUAUACGAUAUUGGAAGAAGAAACAUAAAAUGAUAAGCCGAAGUAUGAUGACCACACGGUAGAGGUUAAGUUGGUUAGAAGGAAUUGGCACUACACGGCUCAGAGGUUGACGAGCAUCGUCGGCCCUAUAAAGACAUAAUUCAAGUAUCAGCCGUAUGAAGCCUUCAUCAUUAUUUGUUUAAGAAAUAAACAUGAAUAAAACAAAGACUGAAAAGUAUUAGUUCUUAUCAUAUACCAGAAAUUACCUACACAUGAAUAAAACAAAAAAAAAGCCAAUUUGAAACAUGCAUGUGUUAUAUAUAUAAGGAGCUGCUUGGUCGAACUAUGGACACAAAGAUUUAUAUAUCACAUCACUUGGUAAAUAGGAAUAGAAAUGGACCAGCAUUUCUGAAUAACAAAACUUGUCCCACUACCUUACUGUAAAAUAAAUCUUAAUUGAACUAACUAAAUCUAGCUCUGGAACUAAUGGAGAUGAAGGGAGCAUGAAACAGAACAGGUAAAAACCAUCAUUUAUCAACUAAAGUACAGUGGCCAAAAAGGAAAAAGAAAUUGAGAUAGCAACAUAAAAUGCCAGAAUGGGAAACACAAGUCCAUACAUUAGCAGAUCUUCACCAUUUGAACCAGUUCCUUCCAUAUCACCUUUGCCAUCAUUGUAUUUGUUGGUCAUCUGCACAAUGUUUUUGUCCUGUUUGAGCUUCCAACCAUCAACUCUUUCUUUCCAAUCAACACUGCCAAGCCCAUAGGAAUUCAAAUCCUUGGAAGGAUCCACAAUUCUUACGGGAACUGCAAUACAAACCAUCACAAAUAAUCAAGCUCCUAAAAAGCUGAAUUGCUUUGCAUUAGUUAACUUUAACUUUAUGGCUAGAAGAUGGAUUUUAUGUUACCUGGCAAGCUGGGAUCCACAUAACCUGAUGAUGGACUUCUAAUAGAAUGGCGAUCUGGUGAAGCAUCAGGGACUUCCCCAGACACCUGAAACAAGUGGUCGAAUGGUAAGAGCAAGCAGUAGGUUGACCAACAAAGGACUAACAUGUUUACUUUUCUAGCUCUGGACAUUGACAUAACAGCUGCAAAGUACAAAUAAAUCUCAGACGUGUCAAGUGAAAAGUGACUAUUCUACAUAGAAUACGAUGAGAAAGUUAACUUUUUUUAAGAAAACUUAACAGCAAGUCAAUGUGCACUUAUGCUUGAGGAAGAGAGAAUCAACAAUAAGCCAGAUACAAACAGAAACUAAAAGGUAUAAAAUGAUUGGCAACUGGCAAAAGCUCAUUCUCACUUUAGUUCUGCCACCGCAGUAUCUGAAUAAUGCAUCUAAUACAUCCUGCAGUAUAUAUCCAAGAUUUGAUGCAAGUUUUACGUCAAUUAAAUGCUAAAUGAUUUAGUAAUUGUUUUAGUGAUUGACAAUAUUAAGCUCCAAUAAGGUUUCGGAAGAAUACAAUUAGUCUUGAGUUCAGAUUUUCCUUCAGUAUGGGCUGUGAAUCUUGAGUUAUGGUAAUCUUUGAGAAAUUUCUCAGUAUUUUGCUAUUUUUAUCAGUCCUAGAGGAGCCAAAUUUGUCCAGGACUAAAGAGAGCUAUGACUGAAAGAGUGCCUAAUCAGUCAUUUUCCCUUCAUGCAAGUUGUCCUUAACAGUUAAUCGAAACAACAACAUUCUAGUUAAAAAUUCCUUGUGGCUCAGCUCUUCUUUAUCUUUUCAAGCUCUGAUAAAACUAAGAAUGGUAUUAGAUGGUCUUCAUAAAUGGUAAAUACAGAUUAAUGAGAAUGGAAAGAGAAAAUAUAUCAACAAUCCAUUGUGAAAUGUUACCAACAGAAGUUGAAUUUCGUAGUCAGUUGGCAUAACUAUCACCAAUUAGCUAUCUCUAAUGUUCUCUUUUGUCUCUCUUAAGAUAACCUUUCCCUUUUCUACCAUGAUAGCAUAUCUUGUAACAUUUAAAAUAAAAAUGUUGCCGAAUAGUUGAAAAUCAGUUUGAUCUUUGUUUGCUCCCCCAUAUUGCCUUUUAUGACAAGAUAAAAUAAAACAACUAUGCAAUAACAUUAAUUUGCUCACCAAAUGUGAUAUGGUGAAUCAAUAUUUGUCUUCUACAAUAAGUAAUUUUUUGCUAUACCUGUUGUCCACUGGUCAAACGUGGAAUGCGGUGUUGAGGUUCAUGUCUAGAAGAUGAAGAUAAAUCAACAUCUUCCUGGCCUUGAAGUUGCCAUUUAGAUCCUGCCUUGGCAUUGCCUUGCCUGUAACUGAACUCAUUGUCCAGAUCAUCAACAUCAUCCUCUUCAUCAUCUCCCUCAACUCGAGGACUACCUGAUAAAUACAAGUCAGACAUGGUGAGGUAUAUUAGAUAUGUGAUCUGAUGCCUACGAUUAAGAGUUAAAUUGUAUACGCAAAAUUAGCAAAAAUUAUUCAAACUGAUGGGAUUUCACGAGCAAGAAGGCUUAAGAGAGCUUCAAUUUAUCCUUACACAUGCAUAUGCAACAAUCAGAAGAAGAAUGAUCAACACCAUGAGCUUACCUUUGUGUCUCUUGUACCGGGUCUUGCACUGAGGGCAAGACUUAUUCCCUUCCUUCCUCUCAUAUUCAUAACAAGCUCGGCAAACUGGGAACGCACACUCAUUACAAGCAACAAAAAGGUCACCUGUGGCUGAAAGCCCUACUGUAUCACCACAGAUCUGACACUCUUGGCCAUUGAAGUUCUUCAUAAGUUUAGGCUGCAUUAUGAAAUGAAGAUAAGGAGCAAAGAACAUGAGAAAGGAAAUAUGAGAUAAUUGAUCUUGUUGCAAGCAUGAAAUUUAACAAGAGCCCACGAUGAGAAAUCAUAGUUAACAGCCAAUUCAAACCACAAAAAAUCAAACGAUCACUUCACCCUAUAGAUCUGGCGAAGCAUAAACCAGAGCAACGAUCUUGCAACUAUAAACUCCUCCAAGCAAGAUAGUGAAACACAAAGGGUUAUCAACAUAACAUCAUUUCGAGUUCAAGGUGGGAUAUACCGGCAGCAGAAGUCCCAAAUUAGAUAAUGGACUGCAGAACAAAGACAAAAAAAACCUAAUCUUUCCUAAGAAUCGCAACUAAAAGAGGUUGUAAUAGUUCCAGAGUUGCCAGCACCAGUCUGGAUUUCUUGCAAUCUAGAUUAAUUCGAACACAAGUCGUCACCGAAUUGCAUCACAUCAACACGGAUCCAAAGUCAAACCACGGUAUCAACUAAGUCCACCACUAGAUCCAAGCAACAGACCGUCUAAAUUGCCCAAUUACUUGAAAGAAAAAAGAACGGAGUGCGAAACGAGAGAUACCCACCCCGGGUUCUCCUUCGUGCCGAAUCAUCACGAACUCGUUCCGCUUGUGCGACCCCGCCACCAUUCCUGCAUUGGCUUCCAUGGCUCUCGCGAUACACUACCGAGAUCCGAGCUUUCCGCGAGCUUCCUCACUGAAAUCUCCGGAAUCGCAUCACCUGGGAUCGAGCAGGAGGGACAGAGAGAGUGAGAUCUGGAUCUCCUCUCUCGAUCGGACGAUACCUCUUCCGAUCGGAGUCGAAGAAACACACCGGUGGGCUCUCACCCGCUGCCUCUAUCGCCCAUCCAAUGAUUCCAAUCUUUCCCCUUCUCUCUCCCUCCCUCUUAAUACCUAGCAUCGACCAUCCGCUAAAGUUAAUAAUGAUAUUACUACAAUAAUUAAAUAAAUCAUAGCGGACUGCGACGGGCUACCGGCGCUCGGAGGACAAAACCAUCCGUUCGACCGAGGCCGUAGGAUCGACGUGGUGAAGGGAUCCGAAGCGUCCGAUGGAGGUGGCGUUUCAACGAGGGCCGUGCCGUUGUUCACAGGCUGUCACUCGCGCGAGUCUCACCGCCAAGUGCCGGUAAACCGGUAGCAGCGUAGUGUCGGCUCGCCGAGCAAAGUUGGGGCCCCCUCUCUCUUGCAGCAGCGGUGGUUGGAUGUGUCGGUGGUGUUGCGUUGGAUGAGCUGUCGGUGUCCCGAAACGUGACUUUGGCAUCAGCUACGCGUACCCGUAGAUUUCCGCUUCGUUUACUGACCUGCUUCUGCUGUGUCCAUCCUCCGGCUGUAGUUGGGCUGUGCACAUCAUAGACCGGAACCAGCAAACCAUAUUCGUAGUGCUUAAUGGAUGGUUGUGAUGUCACUGAUCUGAUGAUGAACUCGUUGUUCGUCAUGUGUUUCUUAACAUCAAGCUCGUUAGGAGACUUGUCUCGGGGUUGAGUGAUGGACUAUUUGGGCCCAUUUAAUGGACUAUUUACCUAUUGGGACAAAGCCCGGUACAUUUUUCUUCUGCUGCACAGGUCUCCUGUGGAUCGAGGGAGGAUUCUUGUACCACGAUAAGCCUCGGGCUUUGAUUUGGAAUGGUACUCUGAGAGUGAGUGAUGAUAUACUGGAGAAGCAAGCUAAGAAACAGCCUGGGAAUGAGAGUCAUUGAAGGAGGAGGUCAACUUGGGUGGGUAGACCAGCUAACAGUGAGCAGUCGUUUGUUUCAGAUCUCACUAGUGCAUUAAACAAUAAGGGCUUUGUUUUUACGAUUUAAUCACCUAUCAUAUAAUUUCCUGGAAAAAAAAAGGUAUGUUAAAGCGAUUAAUUCUUGCUGGUUAACAUGAAAAACCUAUGUAGCAGAUAUAUUCUUUUUAGAUGAUGCAAGAAAUGGUGAUGUGAGAUUGGGUUGGAAUUAUUGGCUGGUGAAUGCAGCAAAGGGCAUCAGCCAAGUAAAUAUUCUAGGUUUUACGAAGCAUCAAUGUUCCAUGUAGCCGAAAUGUAUCCCCCAUUAAUCGGCAACUUGAGAUAUUAGAGACAAUCUUCGUUCCAGAUAAUAAUCCAAGGGAGAAUCUAUGGAGCCAAGCCGAUCUUCCAUCACCAACUGAUGAUGUUCCUGGAACUGAUAUUUAUGCUGCUGUUGUCUUUACAGGAGAUUUCCAGGGGCUGGCAUUCCAGUGCCAUUCACAAGAUACAAGCCAAGAUAGUUCAAACUGAUGAAGUUGCUUCGUCAUGCAUGUGUCAUCCAAUCACAGAACAAGCUUUUUCUUUCUUUCUUAAGGUAUUCUUCAUACUCAGAAGAGUUUCGUCUUCGAUCAACAUGAACAUCACUCUUCUGUUCCUUGUUGUUCUAUUGGCUGUCUGCGGUGGCACUGCCACUGGAUCCUCUUCUGCUCACAGUUGUAUUCUUCAGGAUCUGCAGAGAGACAUAUAUAUAUAUAUAUAUAUAGUCGAUCAGCAGAUUGCUGUUGGCAUUAUAUGGCAUAAAAGACUAUUUCUGGUCACAACCAUAGGAGCAAAGACGGUGAAGGAUGGUAUCAAGUUGAUAUUACUGGUGGCCGAUCGAAGUACGAAAUAUAAGCAAGCAAUUAACUCGAUUCAAGUGAUGUCCAAGAUCGAAGAUGGACACAGACGCUGAUACCGAUGCGUAGAUAAGAGUCAUACUUGUCUCAGCAUGUUGUUCUCGUUCUGCAAUGUGGACAUCCUCUCCUCCAGCUCCGAGUUCUUGGCCUCCAAAUCCUUCACCUUGGCCUCCAGAUCAUUCAGAUAAGCUUUCUUCCGCUCCCUUGCCUGCUGAGCCGAUACUCUAUUCCUCAGCAACCUUUCUCGGACAUAUAUAACCAAAUAGCUCAUCAGAUAAUAGCGGCAGGCAGAACACACACAUCAAGAUUCGCUCAAAAGAAGAUUACAAGAGAUCAUGCGCAUAACGAAGAUUACAAGGAUGAGGGAGGGUGCACAACCUUUUGAGACGCUUGUGCUCUUUGUCGGCGGGGCUCCUCCCCCUCCUCCGCUGCCCGACCCGAGCCUGGUCCUGGCCGACCGCCGAACCGUGUCCUCGCUCGGAGGAGGACGGACCUGCUAACUCUAGCCCGAACUCCGGCACUCGUCUUACAUCCUCGUCGCUCUCCAUUCCUGAAACCAUAUACAUAGAAUAUACUUGUGUGUAUAUCAUAGCCGGAAACCUUCCCCCGUUUCACGCAUCAUAUCGAACGAAACAAUCCUCAUAUAACAACGAAACUGAAAUGAUCUCCAUUAUUUUUCGAUAGAAGAACGAUCUUGACGAAACCAAGAAGAGGAAAGUGCGUCGAACCAAGUGAAAUAGCGCUCUAAAAGACAGAUAGAUAGAGAGAGAGAGAGAGAGGGAGAGGGAGCAGAAAAAGAGCUCAUCUUCUCUGAAAACGAAGAUAGACUUGCCUUCUUUGAUUUCCAUCUGAGGGGCAGAGCUGGAGGAUCUCUCGCUGCUGGAAGGAAGGGAGCUCGUGGCUUGUUCCUGGAGCAUUCUGCUUCCUCUACCCUCGUGCCUUCUUCUGUGUUUUCUUCUUCUACUCGUUUUCUCUUGGGUUGGGAAAGAAAGAGCAACGAAGCGUGUGAGCUACUCCUGCCACUGACAAUAAUAUCCACAUACAGAUGUCCGUAACCGGAGGUUUGGGGGUUUAGAGACGCGGCAGAAACCGUGGGAAUGGGAAGGAAUCGGUUGGUCGUCGGCCGGUGAGCGUGGCGGGAGGAGGAGCCAUGAACGCAGCCAGGAAUCCGAAGGCGCAGGAGAUGGGAGCGUGGAGGCUUCUGAGCGGUCGGAUCGCCACCGAAUCAUGUGGCUGUGCACCCGAGCGCAUCAAUUCUCCUCAUUCCUUGCAUUUGUCUCUUUUUGAUCCCACCCGACGGUUUUAGAUAAUUAUAAUAAUCUAUAGUUUAUUCUAUACUCUCAUAACAUAAUUAUUAUCAAUUUAAAAAAAAAAUUAAUUCGAAUUUAAAAUUUACGAUAAAUCGUCACUAUCUUUAUCGACUAAUCUGACGAAGCAGCACCGACCGACGCAGGGUGGCAUGAUUUGAUUUGUGGACAGCAACUUCUCAUGAUGCAGUACAAGCGACAACCAUCCGAUGACCCUUCAAGGCGACACUCUGCCCACCACGUCAAUUACUUAUGUCGCUCAUAGGGGGGAGCUAAGAUAAGAAACAAAUAGGCGUCGGAGUUAUUGGGUCCGCCUGCCGUGCCAUACCAUAUCCUCCCACGAUGACUUCGUCAAACAGCUUGCAAUUGAUAUUAAUCAUAAUUAAUUGAUAGUAUUAGUUGUAAUCACUUAAACUUAAACUUGAUGAUGACGUGAAGCUGACUUAGCUGCGCAAAUGGAAUUGAUUUGCCCAUCGGAACAGCUUGACUUCCGGUAAGAUUCCACGACAGUGGAGCAGCAGCAUGUGGUCAUUCACUUUCACACCAAUGUCACGUGCGAUCGAACCUUUGCGCCGUUUCAACAGAUCGGAAACUGAUCGAACUUUCCGACAGUCGGUAAUAUUUUCUGGAUUAUUACCGAAGUAUAAAAACUAUAAUAUGUUAUUAUUGUAUAAAAGAUUUUAAUAUUAAAAUCUAAAAUCAAAUAACAAUUACGAUAUAUAAUUUUUUUAUGUUGCUUAAAAAUCUCAUUAUCGUUAUAUCAAAAAAUUAUAACGAUGUCGAUCUACAAAGAAAAUUAGAUUUAGAAAUAAUAGGGAUAUAAGAGAAUAUUUAUCGUGAGAGAUGAAAAUGGAUUUAUAGUCUCUAUGAUAUGGUUAAAAGGGGAUACAGAAAAGAUAUAUAAUCUCUCGUCAUGAUUUUUAGAAAAUAAACGAGAACGUAGAACAUAGAAUAAAUAAUUAAAAAAUUUCUGUAUCAAAUUUUAAUAUAAUAUAUUUGACCUGUUUUGAUAUGAUUGGAUCAAAAACUAAUAAAACUUGCCGACAGUCGGAGGAAAGAUGCAAAUCCACAGGAAGUGAAAGCAAGCAGUGGUUGGGACUGCCGAUCAAUGGCUAAACGAUAUAUGAGUAUGCCCUUAAUGUAAAGACGAAACAAGUACCGGAGAUCUCGAACACACUGCUAAACAUGCACGGUGACAGAAGAGAAGCUAAUGCCUUGUGGGCUUGAAUCGCUUGGUGGACUUUGGCUUGCUAAGAAAUCCGCAGAGGAAGCAACCGGAGGCGUCAGGCGACGGCGGGUCCGCCGUUGGUAAGACGGGGCCUGCGCGGAAGGCCGUUCUGCGCGCGGUCGUCCCGCUCGAUCCGAAGCUCUGCGCGUGCCUGAGCUCCCUGAAUUCUGAGCCACCUUCCUCCUCUUUCCUCUGCUGGUUCAGGUCCCCCGAGAGGAACCUCUCGUCCCACACCAGCCCGGAUGAGCCUGAUCUCCUGAAGGUUUGUGCAGACCUCUGCAGACCAGCCAUCUCUCUCUCUCUCUCUCUCUCUCUCUAGUCCUUUUCGAUGAGGUAGAGGAGAACAAAGAGGUGGAUGUUUUGGAGCCUUAUCUAAUCAAUGCAGACAAGGAUGGAGAAGAAAUUAUGAAGGGAUAGAUAGAUCAGAAUGGCGAUAGGGAGAAGAAAUAAUAACAUAGUGGUGGGUGUAAGCGCUGAUCCAACUUCAAGUCAAGAAGGCUACUUCGACUGUUGCCUUGUCGCUUGAUUUCAUCCUUACGUGAUAACUUUAGAGGUGAAAUAAGUCUAUGUAAAAUUUGAAGGUGUAUAAAGAUUUUGAUAGAUCAAAAAUCCUAAGCUCAAAUCUCAUCUUUAUCACCUAAAAAGAUCAUAAUAAUAUACUAAUUAGUUCGAAUAUCUUAACGUAGAUUAAUCAUUUUGGUGUUCUCUUAUCAUCCGAUGUGAUGAGGAUAAUAAUGGCGACAUGACGCGCCACGACGUCAGCCACGCUUGAACGACACUUUGCCCAAAAGAGGACAAUAAUGCCGACGCGAUGUGCGCUGACGUCACCCGCUCUCAGACAAUGACUUCGUCGUCGUCCGACCCAACAUACUUGACCGAGGAAGAGGAGGAGGACGACCGAGGCGUGCCCAUACCCUGCGACAGUUCGGUCCUUCCCGUCACGCCAACACCAGUGUCAGACGCUACCAGGAGUACGAGUUUGCCCCCUGCAAGCGGCCACAUUAGGAAACAGUAAACUCCCAUAUAAAUACCCCCGAGUUCUAAACAAUGAGAAGGGGACAAACGCAAACAAAAAAGUCCACUCCACAUCAUCUAACUUGAUCGUCGGAGGGGUCGGGCCGAGCUUCCGACCCGACCUGUGUGCAGGUACAAGGGCGGGGUUGCAUCUUCCCAGCGCUGCGGAAAAGCUUCCCUCCCGACGCGACGUCCCGAUCGGACCACCGUAAUCGACCACCUGGACGAUCUCAAGGGGGGCCGUGCCAGAUCCCCGUCAUUCGGACCCCCAAUCAAACUGCGUCGACCCCAAGACCACGGCAUAAAGUUGUUUACACUGACAAAAUAUGUCGACGUCAGAAGUCGUAGUUACGACGGGGAAGACUUUGACAACGCGAGGCCGCGAGAGGCUUAGCUUUAGGUGCUAACUGUGUCGUGUUGCAAUCAAUGCAUUCGGCGUUUGUGCCGUGUGAUUGGGAAGGUUUCGGAAGCAUGAAGGCUUUAUAAUAGUUGUGCAGGCGAAUCACAUCGAAGCUAAUGGAAACGACGGCACCGCUUGUCCAUCGAGCAAGAGAAAUUAGCCGCGAGCAGCUCCAAUUCCCAUUCCCAUUCGCAGUUGCAGUGGUUUGUUGCACUUACAGCUAGAAAAAGCUGAAGCAUCUGCUCUUUAGUGAAUGCAUAUAGUAUUCGAACUAAAAACACAAGGAGGAGCUGAAGAUAUCUUGACAGACCAAAAAACAAAAAUCAUUAUAUAAGAAUAAUAAAAUACAAGAAAUAAAACUUAUCAUAAACAUUUGGAAUUCAUAUUCAUAUCCACCUUGUCAUAUAAAACUUAAAAGAAUAAUAAAAUAUUCUAAAUAUUUUUAUUUUAUGUAUUCUUUUUAUCAAGACUUUGAGAUACAUACGAUACAAUGUUUAUAAUAUUCUUUCUUUAAGUAGUUUAAAAUUAUAACCAUAAUAAAAGAGCAAAGUCCAAAAGAGAUUCGGUUGAUAAGUCUUAAAGAUAUUUAUAAAACAAUCAAAUAUUAAUUUAUAAGAAAUCUUUCCAUGCUUGAAUUACUUACUGUAAUCCUAUUCUUCAAAUAAGUUGAAUAUUAGGAUUCUGAAACUACUUAUCAACCAUAAUAGAAGACAAGUCCAAAGAGAUAUAAUUGACCCAUAAGUCGUAAAAACAUUCCAAAUGAACUCAUAUUCCACAUCCUCAACAGAAGAUUUGUAGUGUAAAUUGACCCACAAGGAAAAGAAUAUUAGAACAAAACUCAUGCAACAAGUAGAGGCUUUUAUAUCAUCUACGCAGAUGGUACAUGUUCUCAAGUAUCAUGUAUUUGAUAUCGAUUCGACAUCGAUCAGCAGGGAUGUAAAAGAGUGGAUGAAUUCAACAAGACACAUGAUAUUCUAAAGCUUUACCAGGUCCUGCCCAAUAAUCUCAACAGUUUUUAGGGUUGCUUACCGGAAAUACAAUUGAAAACAACAAAUUUUCAUUUAAGAUUGUAACAAAUGAGUUACUUCCUUUGGACAAAAUAUGUAUAGGAACUAGAAAGACAUCUUCUCAGUGAGGCACACCAGAAACAGCUCAAUGACGAUGCAGCAAAUGCCUCAGAUUUCUCAGACAUGUGUGAUGGUUUCCAGCUAUCAUGACACCGCUGAACUUUGGGAUCAGCCAGCAAAUUCUCUGUAUGGAUUGCUCCACCGUGGACCAACGUUGUCAUGAUGAAUUCAGAACGUUAGCAUGCACCGCAGCUCUUUCUACAUGAUCCGUAAUAGUCCGGAGUACCUAACAUGUACACAGGGUUCCUCUUGCAUUCCCCUAUUGCAGCCCACUGGGGACAGUUAGCAUCUUCAUCUGUGCAUUCCCCUUCAGAAACAAUGGAAUGCUUGCUUGGAUUGAAGUCUCUCACAUGGAUCCAUUUUGUUGCAGUCCACCUCUCUCCAUCAAGCACCAUACAGCUUCCAUGUAGACUAGCCUCAUCCGGUGUUGCAUCAGGAUGAAGAUUGAAAUAAAGAAUGGCACUACCUCUGAGAGGUUUCACUGCAUAACCAGUUGCUGCACAAGGGGACCAUGUAUCGUCCUUUGUUUGAGUGUCUUUUAGCUGUCGGAUGGAUCAAGUAGAGCAUUUAAUUUUAUUAAAAUUAAGAGCAAGCCUUAUAAAAAUAGCAGCAUGGUUAAAUUACAGCAUAUGGCAAGUUCAUUCUUUUUUUUCUGCAUCCUUAUUCCAACCAUCCAGGUAGUUAUUCCAAGAAAUAGAAUAAAAAAAUGGCAUAAAGCUCUAGUCUCACCUUUGAUUGAGGAAAAAUUGUUUCACCACCCCUAGAAACAUUGGAUAGAUACAUCAAGACUGUCGCAACCCGGUGCCCGCCAACUGCUAAUUUGGAUUCAUCAUGAUAGUAGUCAUAAUGUGGUUCAUAACUUUCAUUGGCCAACGAAUGCAUGAUCAGCAUGUUCUCACCAUUUUCUGUUAACCACAGGAUUAUAAAGUUCUGGAAGAAAAUAAGAGGGCUGCAAUUUUUUGCUAAUUGCUGCAAUGACAUUCAAACAAGACAGGAGAAAAUAAUUGGUUUCUAAAGGUGUUUGGAACUCCAAAUAUACCUUUUUUAAGAAAGGUCCAUGUGGAUAUUCUUUCCUCAAUUUUAGAGACAACUUCAUCCUAUAAAUAUAAAAACAUAACAAUUAAAUUAAGAUAUAGUAUAUACAUAUAUAUUUAAUUCAUUGCCACAAGUGCAUGCAUAUGUACUAUAAGGACUCUUGUGGUACUUAGAACUGAGAAGCAGAUAUGGAGAUGUGUGACUGAUGAUCUAUUGAUAAUACAAAAUUGUCUCAUAGCACUGCAUAAAGGUAAGAUGUGAUGACUAAUACUGCAUGAACCAUCAGAGACAAAGCAGACCCCUAAUAAGCUGCUAUUAUUGCCAAUAUAUCAUAAAAGAAUAAGAAUCUUCAGGCAUUCAGCUCUUCCAAAUGGCACAAAAAACUAACCUGACCCCUGGGCAAGAACAUCCCACUGCUUAUAUCAAGGCUGCUUGCCGUACUGUUCCCCUUGCUAGCGUCAACCACUAAUUUCUCCAGCUUACCUUGAGCCUGUACUAAACAAAAGGGAUUUUUGAUGCACUUCACCAUGCAGUGACCAAAGAGAGAACUUGAAACUUCAAAGGACAGGAAAUUACCAAGGUAAUUAGGUGGUCGCAGUCCUCAUCAGUGAGAAAUCUUUCAUAAAAGAACACCCUAAAACAGAGUAAAGAGAUGCCAAAUGGUUAAAUAAAGAGGUAUUGGGUAAAGGAAGAGUGCCUGUGUGAACAAACCAAUUAUUUCUAUGCACAAAAUAUGCAAUGCAUCAAGCCGGAUGAUAGGGAAUUGCUAUUAUCAUAUCAUGUUUUAUCAAGCAUGAGCAGACUAGUUUUAGCCAAUGAAAACUGACCUUGGAUGCCAUGUCAGUUGAAUUACUUUAGAUGGAUCAAAAUGAAUGGAGAGGGCAAAACUGUCUUGUUGCAGAAGAGGAUCAUGUUUGGAUGACUCGAUUCCCAGUUCCAACCUACAAGAACAAAAAUAAUAAAAGAUCAAAAAUCAACACGGAAACACUUGUCGCUGAAGAAGCAGUAAUCGCGCUUCUGCCUUCGCGACCAAUGUAAUAGAAACUAAAUAGACUAAACUCAUGUUUGUAUGCAUGACACAGCCCAAACUAACAUCAGAAAAUGAUCUAGCUAGCCUAUUAGGAAAGCUAGUUUUUAGGAAAUUAAAACAUCAUGAUCACUUCAACUAGAAACAUAUUGCUUUAUGUAUUGCAGACUUGUACAGGCGCUCACUGCUCCAAGGUUCCAUUACAAACUAUUGAUGAAAGUCCAUGAGACACACAUCAAACCACAACAAGAGCCUACGGGAGCAAAGUUUUCGCCAAUUCUCUUGCACUUGAAUUAGUGACCUUCAAGAGAUUUGAGCACGACCUUAAACUGCAAAGAGGGCAGUUCAACCAAAUCUAGAGGUGAAAUCAAUAGACUCUUUUGCCGGAUUCACAUAGCAAUGGAAAUGAAUAGUUGUUCGGCAUAUAUGAUUAUGCGUUCAUAUCACCAAGCUGGAAGGUUGGACCGGAAAUCCUCUAGUCAUGCAAACAUUUUGGUUACAUGCGAGAACAUCAGCAUCCCCGGCUAGGCAUCUAAUGAGCUCACUGGUUCAACAUCAGUAUCAUCUGUCCUUCAAGACAUGGAAUGCGUAGGGAUGACUCGUAGGAGGACUUUUAACUCAAGAAUUUGGACGAUAAAGAAUGUUUUGGAACAAAGAGGCACGAACAUCUAGAACCUAAGAGACAUCUAAGAGCAGCACUGGCAAAUUCGCCGGGACUAAAGACCCAGAAAGAAUCGUUCCCCCAACCUGUCCUUCAAACUGAUCUCGCCACGAAAGACGAAUCGAGCAGAAAAAAAUUCCACCAGAUUGAAAUCGAAAAACGACGAACCCUAACGAAGACGAAAGGGAUCGAAAUCUUACUCGCGAGAUGAACACGGCAGCGGGCAAGCGAACAAAGCAGUCAAGAAAGGGAGAAAGGAGAGGCGAAGGCGGCAGCGACUCGUCAUUAAGCUCGCCAAGGCUUUGCGCUCUUUCUUUCCGCCGCACCACAUUCUCUGUCGAUCGGCUCAGCUCGUUCGCCGUUCACCUUCGUAUGAAUAAUGUCCACAAUAUUGUAGAUUGAUAUCGUAGAUCGCUCCGAUCGCAGGUAAAAUCCCACCGUCCAUCUCACGGUUCAUCCUAUUUUAGAUUGGUGCAGUGUUGUACCAACCAUCCCCAUAUUUAUCAUUUAUUUAUACAAUAAUAAUACACCAAUCAAUUUAAAUAAUUCAUCAAAGAUUAUAAAAUAAAUACUUACCACUUAUACAACAAUACACUAAUCAAUUUAAAUAUCUCAAUAAAAAAAAUAUAAAACCAUAUAUUCAUCCUAUACUCGAUAUUUGACCGUUAACAGGUAUUUAUUUUGAUUAUUUAAAUAUUAAGAUUUUCUUAAAAAAUAUAAUUAUAUAAAAGGACUUGAGUUUAGCAUCGAGUUGGUCAAAUUGUAAUAAAAUUUUAAUUUAAAUGUUCAUGUAUCACUCUGUAAUUGAUGCAAUUGAUUGUGUGUUUUUUAUUUUCAGUUAAUAAGAUACACUAAAACUUUUAUUGUUUUAUCCUUUUUAUCUCAAUAUAUAAUAAAGUCCCAAAAAACAUAUAUUUUACAUUUAUCUAACAUAUUAAAAAUCUUAAUGCUUUCAUUUUAUAUAAAAUUUAGCUUAUCUUCCAACAACAUUUGUCCCUCAACGAAGAUCAAACUUCAAUGGUACAAACUUGUGAAGGGAUCAGAUUUUGUUAGUGUCAACCAUCCAUCAUCACUCCGAGUGCAAUUAGAUCAAUUUAUUUAUAUUGGGAUCAAUAUUAUCUUUUUCAUAACCAGAGUAAAACUCAAAAGCGAAUGUGUUAGCCAUCUAUGGAGCUUAGCACAAUAAUCCCAUUUAUCUAUAAUAUGCUUUUCAUCUGAUUUAUAGUUUGUUUUCCAUCUUAUAUUUUCAUUAUCAAACACUAUCAACACUCAUUGUAUUUGAUACAAUCUUAUGAUGAUAUAAAAAGAUCCAUAUUUUAUCAAUUAAGUUAGUUAAUAUCUUUAAAAACAUUGUUCAAUAUUCAUUCAUUCGCAGUAACAACAAAUCAUACAUGAUAAAACAUAACUGAAGUUCAAGUUGCAAUUAUAAUGGUUACAUCUCAACUUGUCUGAUAACAUAAGAACAGUAACUAAAAUUAAUCACAAAAGUAAGUUUUUAUUCCUAUAAUGGGUACACUUAGUCAACUCAAAUGGAGCAAAGGUACCUAUAAUCCCCCCCCCCCCCUCCCUCUCUACAACCUUUCAAGAAAUCAGAUCCCAAUUUAAUUGAUUACCCUAUCUAACUAGAUGCAUAAUUUUUCUAUCUAAAAUUAUACAUCCCAUUUGGAAUCGAUUUGUUGUGCAGUGGUAUACUAACUGAUCCAGUCUGCAUAAAUAUGAUUUAGCUUUUUGAUACGCUGUAAUUUCAAAAAAAUCUUUGUAGGUUUGUCCGCGUUGGUUAAGACUAUUCCAUCAGAAAUAAAAUUAUUUGAAUCAUCUAUAUCAACAUCGACACUCGUUGAAGGUUUCUUCGAUUCUGCAACAUAAACCAUAUAACAAAAUUAAUUUAUGAACAUAAGAGAUAAUAGAAAGGCUCGAUUUCAUAUUUUGCUUUUUUUUUUUAAUAGUUUUUUAAGGAAUUAAUGCUAUGAUAUUAACACACAAGGCAACAUAUUCUCAAAAAAUCUCUUAUGAUUGCAAUUAAGAAAAUAGCUCCAGCAUAUUUCCAAACAUAUAAAUAUGAUCAUGUAGGCAAAGGGCUACAACUGGUGUGGACAAAUUAUAAGUACAACAUGGAGAUGCUCAUAGCAAUUGCAUUGGAGGAAUCACAUGUAACAUCUGCAACCAUGAUGAUGGCAUGUUGUAAAUGAAAAGAAUUUUUCUCCAACUAGAAGCCUAACAUGAACAUGCAUUUGAAGGUAUAAUGAAAUGGACAUGGGCAUGCAUUAGAAGGUACAAUGAAAUGGGCAAAGAAUAAAUCCAAAAAUCUUUCCUUUUAUAUCAUUAGAUUCAUCCUCCAUUUACAGUCUAUGGUCAUAAUCUCAGUAAAGUUAAAAAACUGUAUAAAAAAAUUCAUACUCAAUAAGGCUUUAAAAUUUAAAGAUUUAAAGUUUAAUUUAGUGUUUGCUUGAGGGCAAUGUGCUGUGUUAUUUAAAGUUGACCAAGAAGUAAAUUAUAGAUUUACUAAUACCUCUGAUAUUUUCUGCUUCCCUUUUGUUUCCUCUAGAAUGAAGUUUCAAAUUAAAUACAUUUUUAAAGAGGACUUACAUUAUUUUAUUAGGAAAGUAGUGAGCUUAUGAUCAUUAAGCUCAAUCAAUCAUCCAUAUUAUUGUUGUUAUUGCCUCGAAGAGCCCUAGUAGAACUAGGACACUAGGUUAAAGUUCAUAUUUGUGGAGAUAUACUCAGCAACAAAAAUUGUUUUGUAGUUUGUCUAUUAAUAUUUGAAUAAUAAAAAUAAAAAAUCUAUUUCAAACAAAAAGGAUAAAUAUCAGCAAGGUAACAUCAAUGUUUUAUACACCAGCUUGAAGUAGUUAUUCCAUACUUUAAUUGUUGUACAAGGCACCGCCAUGUCACCAUGAUGUAGAGCAGCUAUAUACUAUGAGAGAUGCCUUCUCCUAAGGCAGAAGGCCAUGCAGACACAUAUCAAUGUGCACAUACUAGUAUUUUAGGAACUUGCAAUUGCUAUGCUACCAAUUUAGACAGUCUGUGUUUGUGAAGAAUCAAUCCGCUCAUUUCAGAUAUUUAGUUCAGUUGUGGCAGAGUCCAACAAAAUGGCAAACAGAGCACUACAUCGAGCAAAACAUAUGUCAACCACGAAAGAAUGGAACAAACAACUCAUGUGAACAGAAGAGCAGCAAAUAAGCCAUUAAAGCAAACACUCAGUUUAAAGCCAACAAAUAAGCCAUUAAAACAAAUACUCAGUUUAAAGUUAACCAAAGGCUUCGAAAAGUGUACCUGAAGAACCAUGAGCCGAGAUGCGACGCUCCUCAUUGGUGGGGCGACUAGUGUUUUCCUGAUUGUGAAAGGGCUUCGAAUUCCACGACCUCGGCAUACUCCGGUUAGAUUCAUAACUCCCGCCGGCGGAACCAAAACUCCUGGAAGGAUGCGAUCGGCCGGCGGGGGCCACGACCGAGCCGUCUCUUCUCACAUGCGCAUACAAGCAUCUCUCCCCGUAGGGACAAACUUCCCCAGCGUAGAACUUCCUGCAGAUCUUCUGCGUCCUGGUGAUCUCCUGCCAGUUUGGCGGCGGCUGGCGGAGGUCCUCCGGCCCGUGGGCGAAGUUGCAGGAGUCUCCGUAGGGGCAGGACCCCGUCGCCCUAAAUUUCUGGCAGAGGCGCGUCUUGAAGAGCACCUGGUUCGGCGCGUUCGUGGGAGGAAGAGGACGAGGAGGAGGCAUUGUCGAAAAUGACGCCGGCGGCAUGUUUGGAACGAAAGCAGCAGGAAGAGGCGUGGAAGCAAUCAUCAUCGGCGAGGCUGCUUCCUCUUCUUCUUGUGGUGCGUGCAAGAAGAGCCGUGGUCUCUUGGGAGGGGGAGGCGCCAUACAUCCCUGUUGUUCGUUCGGAGGAAGAUGAGGGUUUGAUGGUGGCCACAGAACGAUCGCGUCUAGGUCAAGCGAGGGAACCGAAGAGACGGGCGGCGGGAUUGAGGUCGGAAACUCCAUGUAGUAGUUAGUAAUCGGAGAAAGAUCAAUCGAGCAAAGGGAAGGGCGAAAGAAGCGAGACGAGAAGGAAAGGAAAGAAUGCAAGGUAUUUAUAGGUCUCCCACAACUGGGAGUCAAGUCGGGUCCCAUCCAAAGGUAUCAGCAGUUUCCCAAAAGAAAAGCGUCUUUUCGCGUGCGUGAAACGGAGUCGUCGUUCUAACGGAGUCCGUGUAAGAGGAGAUCUGCCACGCGUUCUGAGCUGAACGGCCCAUCGAUUGGGCCCCUUCCAAGCCUAAUGUUCGUAUGACACCCCGAGAAAGAGAGCAUUGUGACGGUUAUCGUUUUGUUAACAGAGAUGGUGAGUCUCUUCCGCACACAACAACAUAAAUGGAGUUGGGUGAGCAACUCAUAGAGAUGGUGAGUCUCUACCGCACACAACAACAUACACAUUCAAAUCUCAUCAGGACCAAAUUCGAUUCACCACCUAAUCAUUUGUUGCAGUGAUUGUUUACCACUUCAAUUAACCAAAGAAACAUCCUCAGAUCAUCAAUGUCAAAUGAACAGAGUACAUGAACAAAUACUCAUGAUCACAAAGUAGCUACAUUUGCAUGUCUUGCAACAAGAACAUUGCAUCACAAAACAGAGAAAGAUACAACUUUGACUGGCACACAACAACAUGCGCAGCCGAAUAGAGUUUCACCAUGGAAUAUCCCGCCCUUAUAUUCCGAGGUAGAUUGCAAUUUACUAGAAGCAAUGAUGAACACCGUUAACAGUUCCAAUCAGCAGUCUUACUCCUACACCAAGUGAUGAUAUAGAUCAUCUACAAUAAGCACAUAGCGAGCCUUCAUUUGCAGCUACCACUAUAAUUCUUCAACCAAUUAAGAGGAUGCCGAGCAAAAUACUAGCAUCCGAAUUGCAAUAUAAUCUUUCUAAGCGCACAAACCCGGUCCUCUAUGUAAGCUUGUUAUAACAUCUGCUUCUUUAUACCUGCACAUGUUCCACACAAAUAUUUUAGGCACAAAAUUUGAAGUGCAAAAGUUGUAUGAUAAUUAGGCAGCAAUUCCUAAUUGUAGGUGAUAUUCCUGAAAAAAAAACUCACAAAUACAGUUAUGACAUGGACUCUGCUGUUAACUAAUGCACUAAUAGUGUAACUAUAAUAAAUGUUACACUUUAAACUUUUUUUUUUUUUAUGAUUGAUGCAUUUGAACAUGAUAAUUCAUCAAUAAUUCAAAUACAAAAAGAGAAAGCAAAACCCAACAAAUUAUGUUGAAUAGAUGGAUCUUGAUAUAAUGACCAAUUCAUUUCAAAUUGUUCCAGUGUCAUCCAAUCAUCCUACAUAUCAAACAUGUGAUGUCACAUUCUCACACAGCAAAAUGUCAAGUGAUGUUGCAUAUGAAUAAAGACCCACAGUUUAAUCCUCUUUAUUUUAUUUCCUAAUUGAAAAACCAGAUUUAGUACAUGUCUCAUCACUUAUUAUUUACUUCCUAUUUUUUCAUAAAUUGUUAUGGAAGACAUUCCAUCAAUUAUUAUUUGUUUUCUACUUAUAAAUACCUUGAUAAAGAAUAUUUUAAAAAAUGAAAUAAAAUUCCUCAUAUUAAUUAAAAUUCUACUUCCCUUUUUAUUGGUCUUGGAGGGACUUGAUUGCAAGGGAGGACUACAAGAAAGCAGUAUGCGGGAGUCAUCGUCUUUCCGAUAUUGUAGGUUCUUCACUACCUUCUUUAUUUAAUGAUUUUACUUAUUUAAAUGAUAACAUGUUCCGUUAUUGAAAUUAAUUAUCAAUUUUGGUAUUAAUUAAGAAAUAAUAUACACAAAAAGAUAUAGCAAUAUGCAUACUAUAUCAUAUUUGGACUUUGAGAUACAAUAUUGAAGAAAUUGUUUAUUAUAAACUUGCUUUAAUUUGUGAAUAUAGGCUAUGGAUUAAUGGUUUAGAAAAUUAUAUAAAAUUAAUUUUAAUUGCUGUUAAAAUUAAGAUUAUGAUUAAGAUUUAAAGUUAGAACUAAGAUAUUAAAUAUAUUAACCAAUAUCAAUUGGUCUUUUUUUUCUUUUUAUUGUUGAAAGGAUGUUAUUAAUUUAUGUAAAAAACGAUUUGUAAAUUUCUAUUAAAUUUCUAAAUUGCAUGAUAUUAUUUUUUUUAGUAUACAUGUUUUUGUUUAUUUAUUUAACUCUGAAACCCAAAAAAACAAAGAAGAGAGAUGGUCGAUUGGUCCGACACAACCCAAUGAAUGGCCUUAUCUGGCUGAGCCCAAACCAGGCUAGUUCAAGCUGACUUUGGGUUGUUCCAGGCUGAUCUAAGCUAGAUGACCUAGUUUGCGAACUAGGCUAGUUCAAGCCCAGGUUAGGGUCUGAUAGAUAUUUUCAGAGGUUCUUAUGGUAUUCUACCAUGGAUUUAUUACUUGGAAAAUUUGAUUUAUUUUGACUUUGACCAAUUGUUUAGAAUGAAAUUAAUAUUUUAAUAUAAUGCACAUGGAAUAUUGAUGUUAUUGAUGCCAUUUACAUGUGUCAUGUCAUGUUAUAUGUAUUACAUGCAUAUGAUCCAUUGUUGAGAUAAAUAAAUAUAUCAUGUUGGACACAUUAUUCUCUUGCAUAUAUAGAUACAAGUAUGAUGCAUGAAAAUAAGUUAAAAUAAUGAUUUACUUAUAUUGGCAUUGGUAUGGUCAUAAGAUCUCCAAAUAGUUAUACUCCACAUAAAAGGAGCUAUGAUUAUAUUAUGGAAUAAGUGGCACCUACUGGAUGAAUUCACUAUGAAAAAUAGCCAUUAAUUGCUUGCUUGAAUGAUAAAAUACAAUCCUGUGAAGGUAAACAUGCCAAUCUUUGCAGGGUGAUUCCCUUCAAGGCCAUUCUUUCCUAUGGAAAGAACUUAUUCUCAUUCAUUGUUUUGGCAGGUGAGGAUCCCUCUACUUCAUCCACAUGCUGUUGAGAGUGUAACAUGGAUUCUCUAAAUUCUCAAAAAGAACUCAUAUUAUAAAAUAAUAAAUCAUUAUCUGUUAGGAGAGUGCACCAUCUAAAUUAUGACCAUGGAUAGUGGACUAAUAAUCAUGACUCUAUGUGAUUAUGUGAUGCAACAUAUACAUCCUCUGCAUGUCAUGUUACUAUAUGAUUAUGAUAUUAUAUUAAUUGCAAUCUCGAUUAUGAAAUUUUAUGUUGUUUAACA